rnacentral:lncRNA from 1 species
UUCCUACUUACACGAGCCCAUAUCCUUGCUUUUCUAUCAAUUUCUAAUUCUGAUCUUCCUCCCCAAUCUGAUAUUAUGGUGCCGGUAUAGACCGAAAUUCCGUUAUGGUCCAAUUCUGAUCGGUAAUAAAUACCGGGACUUUGCAAUAUUUGAUUGAUCACAAUUCUAUAUAUUCCAUUGACUAUAGAAGUUCCCAGGGAAUUCAUUAGAGGAAUGUUUCCGAUAAAAAUUGUUUGUUCUUGCAUAUCCCUACUGUUUUUCCAAAUUAAUCCCGCGGAUACAUAUAAUUCAGAAGAAUAUGUGAGUGAUUCAUACACAGCAUCUCUUUCCUUUAUCAAGGGUUCGACCAAUUGAUAUGUUUCCACAAAUAAUUGAAAUUCAAUUUCUUGAUCUGUAUCUUCAAUUUUUGGAAACUUAUAAAGUUCUUCCGUCAAACCUUGAUCAAUGAACCUACAAAAUCCUUCAAAUUGUAUCUGAUUAAAUCCAGGUAUUGUAGAUAUUCCCUCAUUUCCAUCCCAGAGCAUUUUUAAUUUCCCAUUUAUCAAAAAAUACCACUAUUGGCUCAUUCUUCAUCUAAUUAGAUAGAUUAGAUAAAUGAUCUAGCAAUGGUGGCAUUUCAAUUUUGUUUACCGAAUCACAUGAAAUUUUACCCAACUCCAUAUCUGGAAUGUAUGAAAUACGUAUGAACGAAGGAAGAAAAAUAAUUUUCUACUUAAAUUGAAUUGGAAUUUAUUGGAUUUUCAACAGAUACAAAUGGAAAGAAAUUGAUAAACAUCCCUAGAAACGGACUUCUGCUACUUAGACUUGUUAAUUAAGUUUAUAGGAUUUUGUCUAGAAUAUAAAAACAAUAAUGAUUCCAUUUCUACCAUUAUUAUGAUAAUACAUAUUCCAACCUUCUUGAAUACCAGAAAAAUAAAUGGAUUGGACAUUUGAUCUUUUCACUGAGAUAAAGGCAUAAAAAUCAGAAAGAGAAUGUAUAGAAUUAGAAUCGGUUUUUUAGCAUUUAACCCCCUUUUAUGUUAUGGAUUUCGUUGUUCAAAAAAUGAUUCUUCGAGAAGAGAGAGAUGUUGUUUACAGAUUUUUAAGUAGAAUACGAUUGUGAAAUGUAUAAGAAAAGAAGGUUUGUAUGUCUUAAACACGUGUGGAGAUAUCUAUAAUAUCCGUCUUUCUUCUCUUUUCUUGUUUUAUUGUCAUUUUAUGUUCUAUUCGGGGCAACACAGGUUGUGCUCUAUGAAAACAGAAUUUAAAUUUUCUAUUCAAUUCAAAAUUCAAAUUGAAGUAUGAUACUUUUCUUAUAUCUGAUAAUUCUAUAUCGGAAACAUAUAUAAAUAAUAUAUAUCCGUCUAACAAUUUCUCUUGGGGGGUUUACAUAUACUCAUAAUUGUUGUUAUAAUUAUUAUUAAUAAUUAUAAUUUAUAAUUGAGAAGGAUUUUUUGAUUGAAAAAAUCCAUACUGAUUAGUUAUAUAUCAAGUUGUAUUUUCUUAUGUCAUUAGGAAAACAAAAAUUGGAGAUUCAAAUCCAAGAAUUGUUCAUGCAUUCUAAGUCAAUAGUUAAUGGUUCCUAUUUUCAUAAAGUUGAAUUUUUGAUUUUGCGACUGAAAAUCCACAUUUGAUUUUUCAAUAGAUUUCAAUAGAAAGGUAAGAGAAAGUUUUGAACAUUAUGAAUUUUGAGAUAGACUCAAUCGAAAUUGAAAGGAUGAAUCAAACCCAAUCAAAAGGGAAGAAGGAUUAGGAUUUCUUUGACUUUUAGGAAAAAUUAAGGAAAACAGAACUCAAGGUGCAAGUACGAUAAAAAAGCAGUUCAGUAAUCCGGGAAAGUUUUCAUCUAUUUUGUAUUUGUAGCAUUUUGGCGACAUGGCCGAGUGGUAAGGCAGAGGACUGCAAAUCCUUUUUUCCCCAGUUCAAAUCCGGGUGUCGCCUGAUCAACAAAAAACUAGAAAUCUCUUCUUUUCUUCUGUUGAUAUAACCCGCCGAACGAUUCCCCAGCAGAAGCAGAGAAGGCAGACUGUUGAUACUUGUUUGAUUCUAAACAUCUGGUCUGGGGGUUUUUCUAAAAAAUUUUAAAUAUCCUUGCAUUGCAUAUCAUUGCAUAUUUAGGCUUAGGCUAGGCUUCAAGGAAAUAUUCGAAUGCUAGAGGGGCUAUCAAGACUUCGCAAUUACCUUCUACUACAAAUAAAAAUUUUAUAUUAUUAAUCCAUUGUAUAAUGACUGGACCUUCGGUUAGAUUGGAGAGCCCGAUAGGAAAUAUAAAUAGUUGUGGAAGGGGGCGGAAGAUACUUUAUUAUAUACGAGGAACUCACGAAAAUCUCUGAGUGCUCAAGCAUCCAAUCAAUUGAAAUGAGGGUCAACAAAAAAAGAAUAGGACCUAUUAUUCCUACAUGUUCCAUUAGUAACAUUCCUUACUGCGGAUUUUGCUUGUGUUUAAUCUUUCCCGAUUAGAAAUCAUAUAGGAAUUUCUUAUAAAAUGAGCGAAUUUAUCGGAUUGGUUUAUUAAUAGUCUUCGUUCUUUUUGACUCUGCGCCAUUGAUUCCACUAUUAUUAGUGAGGAAUAAUGGAACAAUUCCUUUAUAUUUAUAGAGAUAGGGGACAUAAUUCAUAUGGAUAUAGUAAGUCUUGCUUGGGCUGCUUUAAUGGUAGUCUUUACUUUUUCCCUUUCACUCGUAGUGUGGGGAAGGAGUGGACUCUAGGGGUCCUACUAAUUGAGUUAAGGAAGCAAACUGUAUCAAUAUCAAUUGCUUUCUAGAUCGUUCUGCAACACGUUUGGAACAAAAUAAAAAUAUCUUCAUUUUGAAAUUCCAUUGGACUCGACUGGAGUAAUGUAUUAUAGGAAUCAUCCUCCUUCAAUCAAAGAGCUAUUUCAACGAUUCCCAUGUUUGUAGUUCGAAAGGAAGAGGAUCCCAGGAAAUUUAUUUGAACCUAAUUCUUCCUAAAUUUUCUAGUCCAAUCAACGGCCUCUUACUAGGUGAUACUGAGGAGGGCCGGACCCUUUUUUUAUUUGUUUCUUUCUUUACUGUUCAAAGAAGAAGUUUUUUGUUAAGUGUAUACGCACUUUGUAUGAGAAAGAAGGGAUAUAAACAUAAUGGUUGUCUAACGAGAUACUAUGCAGAAUAAGGUUGUCAGGUGGGUCACAUAUUGCGCAUUUACCGCUUUCGAAUUUUUAAAAUUGGAUUUAUUCUUACUAGGUGAUACUGAGUAGGGCCUGACCCUUUUUUUAUUUGUUUCUUUCUUUAUUGUUCAAAGAAGAAGUUUUUUGUUAAGUGUAUACGCACUUUGUAUGAUAAAGAAGGGAUAUAAACUUAAUGGUUGUCUAACGAGAUACUAUACAGAAUAAGGUUGUCAGGUGGGUCACAUAUUGCGCAUUUACCGCUUUCGAAUUUUUAAAAUUGGAUUUAUACUUUAUCGACUUAUUUCAUAUCAUGGUUCAGGCGUUAAAAAUCAGUGAGGUUUACUCUUCCUUUUCGAUGCCCGUGGAACUACUGUCAAUGGUUUACUCAAUUACUUAUUGGGAAUGUUAAAAAAAAAGAUUACUACGUGAUUUUUUGAAUAUGCCUAUAUCUAUCGCUUUUCCUUCAUUGAUUUGAUUCUUUCAAUAGAUACCGAGAUUCAUAUUGGAAAUAAAAAAUAUAGUAAUUCAAACUAUAAGACAUAAGAGUAAUUCAGAUUGAUCAGAACAAAUAGAUAUAGCAAAUAAAUGGAAUUGGAUGCUAUGUCACUCCCAUAUAUGGAAUUGAUAUUCACAUAUAUCAAGAUAAUAUUGUGGAUUGAUCUAUAGAUCCAUAUCAAAUGCAGCCUCUAUCUUUAUUUUAGUCCAGGGAGCAGCUACAAUCUAACUAAUAAAUAGUAUGGUAGAAAGAAAUAGAUGAAUCUUUCUACCAUACUAUCUAUCUAUUAGAAUACUGUCGAUUCUAGUUCACUCAUUUCAUUUAAGACAUAAAAUUGGAAUCUUUUUCAUUUUAUUUCGGCAAUUUUGGCUAAGAACUCAAAAGACAAGUUUCAUUCAAAUUAGUUAAUAAUUAAUUGUUUUGACUGACUGUUUUUAUGUAAAUGAUAAGUAGAAAAGUUAUAGGAACUAGAAUAAAUAGUGCAGUAGCAAUAAAUGCAAGAAUAUUUACUUCAAUAAUCUCAUCGGUUCUUUACUUCACAAUAACUCGAGAUUUAAUCCCAUAGAGAUGAUAAAUCUUUGGCCUAUAAAUUCAAUGAAUGAAUAUUACCUCUUGAUGAUCUUGAAUCAGAUCAAUAUCAUGAAUAACAAUAUCUGAACUAUCAAAUCAAUUGGUCGUCGAGAAUUGAAUAGUAUAACAUAGGAAGUUCUUUUAUCCAUACCGCCCCAAACUUGGAUUCCUGACCCAAUCCAACCAAAAUUCCUUUAUUUAUCAUUUUUUAUCAUCUGUUCUUUUUUUCUCUCUAAUCUAUCUAGUUCCUUCUUGUACAAUCAUCUGAUGAAGUCUCAUCAAACAGCUCUUCCACUUCCAGUGGUCACAUAGUUACAAACCCAAACAAACAAUAAAAGCUAAAUGGAAAAAGAAAGGAGUUUAGAACGAAACUAUUUUUGACUUGGAAGACAAAGAAGUGUGAUAAAGAUGCGACCGUAUAAAAUGAAUAUUCAUCAAAUUUACUAUUUUUCAAUUUGUUCUUUCGUCGAUGGGGCCUUAAAACAAAAUGAAAAAUCGGAAAAAUGAUUCAUUCCCCUUUCUAAGAGGAGUAGGAUCUUUGGUUGAUCUGUCCUUCCCCCUCCUUUCUUCGUAGAUUAUUAGCCCCGGGACACCUAUACCAAAAGCUCAGUGUGCAAUUUGCAUGAAAUCUAUUUUUCAACUUCAAACUAGUAAGUGAGGUUCCAUAAAUCCGUAUCCAGAAAAAUAAAUUGUUUUUUUUUUGUUUUUUCUGGAAAGUAUUUUCUUAUAUUCAAUUUUGUGUUGGACAAGAAAAGAAUUCUCUUUGUGUAUGCGCGCCUCAAAAAGGUAUAGUACCCGAUUCCAUUACAUGCAUCGGGGUCAAUCGAAAAAGCCAGCAUUUCUUGGAAUGCUGACUAUAAUGCUACCAAUAAUUGUACUAAUUCAACCGCAUAUUACCCAAAGGAAAGAAAAAAGAAAUAAGGAUUUCCCCUUUGCUUUGACAAUGAAAUUCUGCCCCCCGUCCCCUUCAUAAAAAGGGAGAGAUUUAUAUUGGAUCCGUCAGGACUGAGGGGCUCGAACCCGUAGCUUCCACCUUGAUAGGUGGUGCUCUGACCAAUUGAACUACAAUCCCAGGGAAAUACGGGAUCUAGCAGAAAAUUUGAUUCUUUUUUAUCUCCGGAUCGGGUAUUUCUAAAGUAUAAAGGGGUUAUAUCAUCUCAUGGUGGAUUGUCCAAUUAUUGGGCUGAGCUGGAUUAGAACCAGUGUAGACAUAUUGCCAACGAAUUUACAGUCCGUCCCCAUUAACCACACGGGUAUCGACCCAGGAAGAAUCCAUUUAGACUUAUUGGUAAUCCAAGAUCAACUUCCUUUUGUAGUACCCUACCCCCAGGGGAAUUCGGAUCCCUGCUGCCUCCUUAAAAGAGAGAUUUCCUAAACGACUAGACGAGGGGGGCCCACUUGACCAACGGCCAUCAUACUAUGAUCAUAGUAUGAUCAAUUUUUUAAAAUUGUCAAUAUAAUUGAAUGAUUCUAUCCAAGGGAUCUUUCCCCCUUUCAGAAUUGCAUAGAAUUAUUUUUUAUUCUGAUGAAUUAUUCAUUCUAAUCACCAUUAGAAAUCUAAAAUCUAGUAGUAGUAUUUUUUUAUUUUUUUGAAUUCAAUUGAAUUUAUUUCGAUUAUUUUAGUUUUGAUUAUUUUAGUAUUUAGAAUUUUAUUUCGAUUUCUUUCACUUUCAUUUGAUUCAUUGUUAAGACGAGAUAUCCUUAUCUCCCUCCCACCAAGACAGGAAAUUAACAAAUGAGAAAUCUAGUAAGAUCAAGCAGAAAAUUGUUUUUUAUCCAAGAAUUUAGUUCAAGAGACAAGUAGAAUCUCUUCAUUCCAUGAUUCGAUGAAAUAUCUUGAAUUUUAUGUUGAAUUGCUAGGUGUAUGUACAUGUAUCAAUCAAGUGAAUUUUGUUCUGGUGGGAUCAAUUCAAUAAAAGAAAAAAAGAAAUUCGAGUCGGUCUUGAAACACUUCAUUGCAUUUUCUCCUAGACUUCCUAGGUAAAUCAUGAGCCACUAGACACUAUGUAUCUACUCCACGUAUUUAAUACAUAUAUACUUAUGUUUAUAAUAUAUGUACAUAUAGAUAUGUUAUCCACAUAGUGAAUAAUUUCGGAAUUAAAUAAAAAAGCUCCUUUUAACUCAGUGGUAGAGUAACACCAUGGUAAGGCGUAAGUCAUCGGUUCAAAUCCGAUAAGGGGCUUUGUAAAAAUCCAAUCUAGUAUUUAUAUUUAAGGGGAGAAUUGUAUUUUGAUUUGUAAUAAGAAAAAGUAACUAAGUGGAUAAUACAUUAUCAUUAUACUUAGUUAUAAAGUUGAACAUUUGUUUAGUCAAUUUUCAUUAUUAUGAAUUUCUGAAUAAUGAAAAGUCACUUCUUGAAUCACCCACCGAAUAUUCCUGUUUUCCAUUAUACCAACCAAAUCCAUUUGAAAGGUUAGAAAUCAACAAAAGAAAAAGGCAGUGGACCAGACCUAUUGAAUCAUGACUAUAUCCACUAUUUUGAUAUAAAAAUUUGAUAGGGAUGAAAUUGGAAUAUAAGGACAACUAUAAAACUUUUAACACAUCCAACACAAUGCUGCAACAAUUAUUCAAAAACAUAUUCUAUACAACAUUAUACGCUUUCUAUACAAAUCAUAUACAAAAACUAUAUCCUAUAAACCACUAUACAGUUUUGAUAUACAUUCUAAACAGUAAUUAUAAAGUUACAUUCUAUACAACAAUUAUAGAAUUUUCAACACAUUCUAUACACUAAUUAUACAAUUUUAUACAUAUUUUAUACAACCUUUGACUGCAAUUAUUAUUUGGAUUCGUAUUUUAUACAACAACUAUAUAGUUUCUAUACACUGUCUAUAAAUUUUUUAUAUGUAUUCUACACAUAUUUGAUAUAACUGAACAAGUUCUCUCUCUAUAUACAUAUAUAUAUUAUUUUUUUAUAUGUAUUCUACACAUAUUUUGUAUAACUGAACAAGUUCUAUAUAUAAGAGAGAGAAUAAUAAACUUUGGUAGUCCUCACAAGACUAUUUUACUAAUUUUAAUUUAUUUAUCAUCCAAUAAAAUUAUGGCAUGUAGUUUGAUAUAGAUAAAACUAUUUUAUAUUUUUGUUGCCAAAUGGAACCUUCUAUGUGGUGUGUUAUAAUAUGAGAAAUCAUUAUUGAGUUUUUCUUGAAUUUUUAAUAUUUUAACUAAUUUUUUCUUUUAAAAGGAUAUAAAAUUAGGAGGAAAUUACAAAGUGGGGAAUCAAAUCUUCACCAAUAAGGUGAGAGUUAAAAACUGACAAUCAACUGAACUAUUUAGAUUCCCUUGUUGUUUAACUAAUCGAUAAAUCUCUUAAUUAAUUAUAUAAGGUUAUAUUUAUUUAUGAUAAACUGAAUAUGAUUCUCAAUAUUUGCUAAUUACUUUUUAAGAAUUGAAUAGCAUUUUUUAUGGACAAUUGUAUCUUGCUUUUAAAGUUAUCAAUAAAAUAUUUCAAAUACUGAAAGUUGAAAUUAUUGAUAAAGUUAAAAAUGGAGAUAGUGGUGUCAAUUAAGACUUGAUUAUUUUUAAAAUAUUUUUUUAGAUUAUCGAGAAUUAAUAUUCUUAGGCAUAAACUAAAUAUAAAGAACUAAUAGAUAUUCGAGGUUCAUUUUGAUGAAUUUAGUUUUUUUUUUCCUUAAUUAAAGUAAACCAAAGCUUAAAUUAUCAUAUUAACUAGAUUAAAUUCUUGUCACAUGAAAUUAUGAAUAAAAUUAAGACUUCAUAAAUAUCUAAAGAAACAUAUUUUUAUUUAUAGCUAUAGAAUAUAUGUUCAUAAACUCAUAAAAAUAUUAAUAUUUUUUAAUUUAUGAUCUUUGUGAGUUGUAAUUAUUAUAUAUAUUUAAUCACAUUAUUAUAUAAAAUAUUAAAUUACUUGAGUAAGCUCGGGCCUUGUAAAACUAGUAGUAUAUAUAGGCACAAAUUCUAUACAACAACUAUAUUAGUUUUAUACUAUUAGAUUUAAUUUUUAAUUUUAAACAACCCAAAACAAAAUAGAUUGUUUUUAAGUAAAACAAAUUGUAGCAAAAAAAAAUUUGAAUUAUUUUUUAACAAGGGUUGAAUGACCCAAAUUUGAAAGGGUUGAAAAUGGCCAAUAUGUCUGAAUGCCCAAUGGCCAUUGUAGGGGUGAGUAUUUGAUUUGUUCGAUUUAUCAGUUCGAUUUUUUGAUUUUCAGCUUCACGAAAAUGACAACCGUAAUCGAACUAAAAUAAAUUCAAGUUGGUUCGAUUUCUGUAAAUUCGACUCCAUUUUUUUAGAUAUUUUUUUAAUUUUAAAGAUCAAAGUAGUGAGCCUUUUUUUAUCAUGACUGGUGGUGAGUAACGACUUUUGAUUUUUUCUCUACUUUAAUGUAUGAAAAUAGUUUAUUUUCUUAAAUCUUUGUGUUACUUUCUUAAAUAAUUUAUUUAGUCUUGGAGGGUAUUUUUUUAAAAUAAAACAGUAUACUUGUUGACAAAAAAGAGUAGUGACUACUGAGUACGUUGACGGAAGUGAGAACUGAGGAUCGAAAAAUAAAAGUAGGGUUGUGAGGUCGUGAGCAUCGUUGAUGUAGAAUUGUGAAGUGAAUAUUGAAUAAUAAAUCAGAGUUGAAGGGUUAUAGAUAGAUAGAUAGAUAGAUAGAUAGAUAGAUAGAUAGAUAGAUAGAUAGAUAGAUAGAUAGAUAGAUAGAUAGAUAGAUAGAUAGAUAGAUAGAUAGAUAGAUAGAUAGAUAGAUAGAUAGAUAGAUAGAUAGAUAGAUAGAUAGAUAGAUAGAUAGAUAGAUAGAUAGAUAGAUAGAUAGAUAGAUAGAUAGAUAGAUAGAUAGAUAGAUAGAUAGAUAGAUAGAUAGAUAGAUAGAUAGAUAGAUAGAUAGAUAGAUAGAUAGAUAGAUAGAUAGAUAGAUAGAUAGAUAGAUAGAUAGAUAGAUAGAUAGAUAGAUAGAUAGAUAGAUAGAUAGAUAGAUAGAUAGAUAGAUAGAUAGAUAGAUAGAUAGAUAGAUAGAUAGAUAGAUAGAUAGAUAGAUAGAUAGAUAGAUAGAUAGAUAGAUAGAUAGAUAGAUAGAUAGAUAGAUAGAUAGAUAGAUAGAUAGAUAGAUAGAUAGAUAGAUAGAUAGAUAGAUAGAUAGAUAGAUAGAUAGAUAGAUAGAUAGAUAGAUAGAUAGAUAGAUAGAUAGAUAUGCCCGUGCGUUGCACGGGUCCAACGCGUAUAGUAGAAUAAAAUGAAGAUGUAACAGUAAGAGACUAUCCCGUUUGAUUGGAUCAGUUGAUGGAAAUGAUACUAAAUGUAUGUUUUAUACAAUCAUGGAAAUAACAUACUACUGGAUGCGCACAUUCACAUAUAAUAGUGCCUAUUGUCUAUUUACAUAGGUACAUAUUAUCCCGUUUGAUUGGAUCAGUUGAUGAAAAUGAUCCCAAAUGUAUGUAGUAUACAAUCAUGGAAAUAACAUACUAUUGGAUGCUCACAUUCACAUAUUAUAAUGGUUGUUGUCUAUUUACAUAAGUACAAAUAAUAUUUAUAAAUUUUACAAUAGGAGAUGCAUUUUUGCUAUUGUGAUCAACCUCUUGAGCAUUCACGAUCAAACACCAGAUAAAUUGAAUUUAAUGAGUAAAUUAGUUUAACAAGUUCAAAAUGUGAGUAAAGAAAGGAAAUAGCUUAUAGCCAAAUAAAUCAACAUAAAGAUAUCACUCUAUUUCUGUGUACAUUUUUUGUGAGAAUACAUUCCUCUUACACCAAGAUCCAAGCCAAGAUUUUUUAAGACUGUACUUAAGUAUUCAAUUGCCUUGAGGUACAUCAAUCCUUCAAUAGCUCAGUGUUACCUUUUGUUUUUAAGUAAUCUACACGCGAGAGUUGCAGAAGAAUUUAGUAAAUAUGAUAUGUCUACAUAUAAAUCAACACUAAUAUAACAAUUAUAUAGUUUAGGGAUGAGGUUGAUAGUUGACUUCUACCAUAUUUAGCAGCAUUUUACUUCUAAUUAUCAGAAAUUUUAAUGAACUCCAAAAAGGCAAAAAUUAAACUUCUAUCAUUUAACAAGUAUAAUUGUAAGUUCGCAAGGAGGUCGAUAAAAGUUCAUUUUUAAAACAGAUGUCAACUUUCUUACUACUAAUCAUAUUAUUAUUAAAUAAAUAACAAACCAAAACAAGUGAAGGCAAUAAGUUUUUUCUCUUUGUCCCUGCUUUGUUUGUGAAUGUUUAUGAACACGGAGAACAAAAAGGUGUAAAGUACAUAUGACCAAGAAAGCAGGUAUCUAACCUUUCCACUUGACUGUCCGUAUGCAGAGUAAUCAUACCUAAACAAGAAAUAAGAUGUUGCAAUGGUAGUCAUACUUGCAUGCUACGUGCAUAGAUAAAUCGAUUUCUGCGCUACAGAGAAUACUAAUAUAUUUAAAGCAAUAUUCAUAUUGUGUCCAAAAAAUAGAAAAAUUAUGAUAAUCAAUCAAACAUAACACUUCAUUUUUAAAUUAAUUAAUAGUAAGGCAUUUCACUUUGUUAGUUGCUCAAACCAAACCAAAGGCAGUUGUGUUGGUUUUGUUUCUUUUUUCUGUUUAUGCAAAAACUAUGAAUGUAAUGUGCUGGCUAGCUCAUGUAUUGAAAGUCAUUUUUGUUGUAAUGAAUCCAGUAAAUUAUGACUUUCUUUGAUUUUUGAUUUGUGUCAGCCCUUUGAUUCUGCUUCCAAGCUUACCUAUUGUUUGCCAAUAUCUGUGUUCAGUUGGGCCUCUCUAUAGUAAUCAGUCUCUAUAACAAUAUUUCGCUAUCACGGUCAAGUUUUGUUUGGACUACCAGAUUACUACAAUACCAAACGUGGCCCACAAGUGGCCUUAGUCUUACAAGCUUAUACUUAUAUUGGCUUAAACCAGAUUCUGUUUAAUAAGAUUUUAUCUAUUUAAUAAGGAUACUUGUUUAACUCAAUGAUAGUUUAUAUGUUUACUUGUGUACAUUAAAUGUUGAAGGGCGUAGAUACCAGCUAGGGCUAAGUUAAUAGACACAUUUAAUGUCGAUCUAAGUGGCCUCACACAUUUAAAAUUUCAUCACAGGUGGAAGGUUCAAACUGAAUAUAAAUAAUAUCCAUAUAUAUAAGAAGUUCUAAAACUCAGAAUAGCUAUUGUUCUUUUAUCCAAUUAUUAGAUAUAAAGUAUUAUCAAUAUUUAGUAUUCAAAGAGUCAUAAAAACUCUAUUCAGUAUUUUAAAUAAAAUUCAAGAAGUAUAUUAGCAACAUACUACUCUCAAGCCCGGCCGAAGUGCGAAAGCACAUCAACGCCCACUACGAAUGAUAAAAUGCCAAAGCCAAAGAGUAAAACAUUCAGGUAAACACGGUAACCAUCUUUAGCAUUAGAGUAUACUAAUAACUAAUAACUAAAAUAGAAUGCUACCGAAUCUUUGGAUGUGCACAGCUCAACAAUGACAAUGAUAUGGCUACUGUAACACAAAUUGAUUUGCUAUAUAUCACAAGAAAAUUGAUGCUAGAUGGUAUUAUCUGGACUCUUGAUUGGAUGCAUUCACACUGCCAGAGACAACCCUUAAAACACUCUAAAUAUAAGUGAGGUUAAGAGCGCUUAAGCUACUAAAGUGCUGCAUUUCAACAUCCAUUAAUCCACAUCCUGGAUAUUUUAUACAUGCGGUGCAGAAAUUUCAGAAUUGAAAUGAAAAAUCGUGUAGUAGUUGACCUUCUAGUGUAGUUCUUAUUGACCCGUGGGAAAUCAACAACUGACUUUGACAGUUUCUUUUAUGAUGGUAGACCAUUCUUCAUAUUGAACCUCAUCUCAUACCUGAAAAUUAUGAGUAGAAUCAAGAUAAUUGGAAGAUCUAAAAGUCAAAUAAGAUCAUCAGGUUAGAGUUUUCCUACAGCUGAUUUGUGAAACCAUCAUGCUGUUGUUCUUUUAAGUUCCAUUAACCGCAUCUAGAUCUGGAUUCUGUAGGCGAAAAGUGAUCAAGACCACAUCAUAUUCCUCCUCCCAAGCAUUGGAUAGUCAAGCAACGAAACCAGACUCAUUUGGAUCAGUUAGUAAGACUAAAGCAUGUACAUCUUGUGAUUCAUUGAAGUUUAUAUCUGGUGGUGUCCAAUAAGAGGAUAAAUAUUUUUGUAUUUUUGCAGUCUAUAAUAGAAGUUGCUCAAAGUCAGGUUGUCAUUAUGUCUAACAAGACGAUCUGAGAAGUGCAAACCGUCUACAUUGGGUCCUAAAGCGUAUCCAUCUUUUCGAAGUGAAAAAUUAUACAUUGAUAUCUACCUCGUGGCUAGAAAUUUAUUUUAUUUUCCAAUCAAAGGGCAUGAACUUCCACAUAUCAGAUAUAAAAAUAAAAACAAAUUUUAAAUUUCAAAAUUUCAUACCAUAGUAGAAUAUGAAGCAGUUAGGCAGCUAGAACCACUUGAUUAGGGAUUCAUUUUUUGCGUAGCGUGGAAGAACUCCAAAGCGAGCCUUCUUUGUGGGGUCAAAGUUCUAUGCCAGCUGUUUGUUUUUCACCAUUUUCUAAGAAAUACAUAGCCUAUUAAUCUCACAUUUGUGAUUAAAUUCGGGAAAAUAAAAAAACAUGAGGGAAAUUUUAAGCAGUUGACUGAACCAAGCAAUUAAAUUGUCAUUAAUCUAUAAAGGCAUCAAGUGUAAAUUCGCAGAUAACAUGUAGUUAACUUCCUUAUGCAUAUGGAUAGCACAUCUCAAGUUGAUCUGAUGAAUACUGGACUUCAAAGAGCCAUAGACUAUUCAUUAAGAACUUGAAGACAAGAGUUGAAUAUCAUAAUUUACUGUGCAUUUGCAAGAAAUUCAAAAUUAUUUAGUUCCAUUUUAGCCAUUAUUUUACUUAACCCCUUUGCUUCUAGGACACCACCACCAUCUCCGAGAACUUAAAUUUAUAAACAAGAAUGAUGCUACUUCACCAGAAUAACUUCCAUCAUUGUCAUCAGGAAAGCGAACUCGAAACUGUACAAGUAUAGAUCAAUAGAAAAAGAAAUUGCGAAGAUGGCAUAACUUUGGUCUGAAGUACAAUGGAAGAUCCAUCAUAAUUGCAUAAUUUUCAGUAAUAGCAAAAUCGUGCAUCAUAACAGAUGUUGGUAUUGUUAUUGGAACUGGAUCUUGCAUAAAACCAUCCUUGGAAAUGACUCUAUACGUAGUGUAAGGUGGUGUUUGUGAGUAGCCAAAGAUAAAUAUCUCAUCUCCCCUGCAUGCAAAUAUUUUUAGGCCAAACUCUGUAUUUACAUAACAAUAUAUAAUUGAAUAAAUCAUAACAUAUUUUAAUCUCCAGCUUUAUUUUAGAUCCAUUUUUCAUUGUACAUCUGAACAAAAGGCACCUGGACACCUAAGUUCUUUCUCAAAUAAAGGCCAAGUAACUUGAAUCAAGUUAACAUCUGUUCUAAAUCCUUGUGAUCUCCACUACUAAGUAGUUAACUGUACUUUCAUAAAAUGGUAGUGGGUCGUAACAGGAUAUUUUAAAGGUUCUUAUAUCUCCAUUCAAGUAAUGACCUAUAUGGCAUCCAGGAAGCCAGGGUCUGAAAUGGGAGGAAGAACCUUGUUAUUGGAUAACAACUCAGAGGAUUUUACAACUAAAGGAAAUGAUACUUGGAAGUGAUUAGCUGAUAGCCACAGUUGAUGGGUGUUUCUUUUUAAAAGUGUAGGUAACAUUCUUUACGAACAAAGAACUGAAACCAAUUAAUCAUCCAUAUUUAUUUCCAUAAUUGAUAGCAGAUUCAAAUGACUAUUCUCUUACCAGUUACAGGGUCAACCUUCGGGUGUACAGUGAAGGAAUGUUGCAACCUUUUAUCGUAAUCCAGCAUGCCAAGCAUUUGUAGAUCUCCAUCCUCUAGAACUUUAACUACAUCUGUGAACAAAAUAUUCAUUUUAUUCAUAUAAGAAGGAAAACACAAUAUACCAAUAAUUGGGUUCUUCGGUGGCGCACAGUCGCAAACUUCAAAAAACAACAAUCUUACUAAAAGAAUAGUCCACAUCACUGUUUGGCAGCUUGAAUGCAUAUAAGAUCAUCUCUGGCAAUUAGAAAGUUAUAGUCGUACAAAAUAAAUGGAAGGAAGUAAUUAACUAUAAGAUGUCAAAGAAUCUUGAUAACAUAUUCAGGUUAGCAGGCAUUUAGAUAAUAGAUUGCUUAAGUUUCUCGGCUAAUAGAUCAAAUGAAAAAGUAAAUUACAUGGUUUAUCCCCCUCACGAAGAUCCAAAAGCUUCCCAUGGUGAUAUAUCUUAGUUGUAUUAGCUGAAUGUUCAGAUGAAAGAUUGGUGGUAGCUUCUAGAGUCUGUGUUAAAUUACUCUUCACCUGCAAAUCAAGUGUGGCAUGGCAAACUUUCCUCCUCACAUGCUCCAUAAGAAAUGCGAUCUGUCAAGAAGAGUGUAAGCAAAAACUAUUAGGCUCGGUGAACCUAAGAAUACAGAGUAAAGGUGAAAGAAAGGACAUGCUUGUAAAUUCGGAGACUACAGUAACAACAGUUGAGACUUGUGAUCUAUGUCGUUAAAAAUGAAAGUCCCAAACAUGGGAAUGAAUUGUCUAGUGAUGAGCUGCACCGAACACAACAAAAUAGACCUCAGAUUACUACUUCGAUCAAACAUGGUUGUAUAUCCAAAUAAAGUAGAUAUUUCAGGAAAAAAGAAAAAACAAGUUUCAAGAUAAAAAAUGAAGCAAACAUAAACCUUAUACCAUAUAUUAUCAGUUUCUAGAACAGCUAAAAUUAUCAUUUUGGUUCAUAACAUGUUCAAAAUCAUGACAUGCACCUAAUCUACACAUCACACGUAGUGGCUAGUGCUGCUACCACUAGACCAGAGUCUUAGAAAUAUUCUUUAGUUAAAUAAUCUCUUUCACUAGUCCUAAAUUUCCUACAAAUCAAGUGUGGCAUGGCAAACUUUCCUCUUCACAUGCUUCAUAAGAAAUGUGAUCUGCCAAGAAGAGUACAGAGUAAAGGUGAAAGAAAGGACAUGCCUGUAAAUUCGAAGACUACAGCAACAAUAGUUGAGACUCGUGAUCUAUGCUGUUAAAGAUGAAAGUCCCAGACAUGGGAAUGAAUUGUCUAGCGAUGAGCUGCAUUGAACACAACAAAAUAGACCUCAGAAUACUUCUUUGAUCAAACAUGGUUGUAUAUCCAAUUAAAGUAGAUGUUUCAAAAAAAAAAAAACAAGUUUCAAGAUAAAAAAUGAAGCAGAUACAAACCUUGAUCACUUCUUGUGAUGCAACUCCUCCAAUGAAAACAGCUACAAUAUAAAGCUCCGAAGCAUCAUAUCGAGACAUCUCAUUAAUAAGGUCCUCUGAUAAGAUAGAUCCAUUACAAUCAAGGUCGUUGAGUAGGCCAAUAGCUAUAGUUUUUAGUCGGGAUAUAUCCUCAUCCAUCUCACUAUCAAGAAAUUCUUAAAAGUUAGAUAGUCAUAAAUUAGCUUUUCUUUCAGAAAAGAAAUUGUAUGGACGAAAAGCAUCUUACCUUACCCAUCAAAUUGGCCAGAAAAUUUAUUAUAGUUUGCAGCAAACCGGUCAGCUGCUCGAAGAAGAAUGUAAAGACCCGCAGCAGUACUGCCAUAAAAAGGGAGUAUGCAAAAUCUCCCUAAUGAAAGGCUAUUUAUGUAAAAUAACUAAUGUUUGGAAGAUCAACAACCGGCACAUGCAUUCAAAUACAAAAACAUUAACAGUUCGGCAAAAAGAAAAAUUUGCGCAUCUAUUUAGAGUACAAAAAGCAUUAUCAAGCACUCAUUGAAAAUCAAUCCCAAUUCAUCUUUGCUCUAUCUUUUUUUCAUGUAAUGCAAUUUUUUAGUUGGAAUUAUAUUUACUUUUACAAGUAACUUUAUCGUGUACAUCUUUUACAAGAUUCAAGAACUCAAAUUUAAUAAAAGUAGCACAAGUUUGAAUAUAAUUUCCUAUACCUGAGUUUGGUAGUUCCGGAUGCAAAUGUUCCCUGAAUAUAAACUUGCCAAUAUCCUGUAAGAAAGAAUAGAAAUAAUGAGCGACAAACACUAAUUUUUUAGUAAACAACGUCAUCUGAGUUAAUAGAAUAAAGUUCUGAAGCAUUUUAAAUGGAUCUUCGAACUACUGAAAUAGAGCAAAAAAUUGAAAUAAGAAAGAGAGAACCCAAAGUAAACUAAUUAAUAGAGAAUUAGUAGGUAGAGAAAGGCGAAAAUUAGGGUAUCAAAGAAAUCAAUAUCAAGCUAUUGGGAAACCAAGAAUAAAAGGAUAUAAUGCAUCAUUUGUAUUCAAUAAUACAAUCAACGAAUUGACACAACCAGUAAAUAUCAGAACUUGAAGAGAUAAAUUCAGAUUGAAUUAAAUAUUCUAUAGAAAAUCCUAAAUAAAUUAAAACAAGAAAUCAAUCUGAGAAUCGAAGACAACAUUGGAGGAGAAAGAAUUGCAGAGCUCGGAACUAAUAAUAAGCUGCGCUCUUUGCCUUUGAACUCGAUCAGCCUCCUCAGCAACACAUACCCCCGAUAAAUAUAAUCAAGAAAAUCAUUAAAAAAAAUUAUGUAUACAGACUAAGAAGAAAAAUAAAGUAAAUUUUACAUAACUUAAAUGAAAAAUUAAUAAGAGAAUUAUAAUAAUAAGGAAAGAUCCAAAAGAUUAUAAAGAUUUUCGUAAAAACAUGAAUAGCAGGAGUAAAAGUGAACUACAGCAUAAAGUUGGGAAACAGGAGAAAGGAAACAUCUGGAAUUGAAAGAAAACAUGAGUUUGUGGUUUGUUAAAAUAGUUUUUUACCAUUUUGCCCUUGAAUAUUGAGUAUAUUUACAAAAAUGCCCUUGAUCGUCUUCUUAACUGCCUCUUCUAUAUAGUAAUAUUAUAAGGGGUAUUGGGCUUGUUGGACUUGGGCCUAUUGUUUGGUUGGGAUCAAAUUUGGGUCGGGUUUGUAUUAUAAUUUAAAUAUAAUAAAAUAUUAAUAUAUUAUUUAUAUAAUUAAUUUUUUUAUUUAACCAAUUUUUUUUUCAAUUCGCAAAAUUGAAUUCCUAAAAUUUGAAAUCGAAAUUGAUCCAAAAAUUAAAAAACCCAAUUUAAUUUCGAAUUGAUUUUUUUGAUUUAAACCAAAAUAUGUCUAGCUCUAAUCGAAUGACAUUAGUUUGACCGACGGACCAUUGAAAAAUCAUAGGCUCAAACAUAGGCUCAAACAUGGGCCAAUAUUAUUUUUUUUGAAUGGCCAGCCCAUUUCCUUUUUCCCUUUUCUUUCGGCUUUUCCUUUGGAAUUGGGCAUCUUGACCCUCUUUUUUCUUUUCUGAUGAAUAAAAUGGUCUAAGGAUAAAAAAAAUCACUUUUUUAAAAAAAAAAAAGGAAAAAUGACAUAAAUAGCACUUAGGGUGAAACUAUUGACAUGAAAAUGACCAUUGAAUUUUGAUUUCAGUUUCUAGCCAUUUGCUAGCAGCUUUAUAUAAUACUGAUAUAAAUUUGAUACAUAUCUUAUACAGAUAUGUAUUUUAUAUAAUAGAGAUACAAUUUCUAUAUGUAUUUUACACACACACACACAUAUAUGUUAUACAAUAAUGAUGCAAAUUCUAUGAACAUCAUAUUAAAAAUGCAUAUUCUAUAUAACAAUGAUAUAAUUUUUAUCCAUAAAUUUGCUACUUUAUUUUUCUUAUGGACUAUAUCAGUAUGGUAUAUGAAUUGUAUCAAUAUGAUAUAUGAUUUGUAUCUAAACUACCUGAGCCAAAAUGACUCAAUUAUGAAAUGACCAUAAUAUGAAAAUUAUUUGGAUCGACUGGUCAUAAAUGUCCAAUGACCCAAACAUGAAUCAAUUGUUUUGAAAAGAAUCAGCCCGUGUCCUUUUUCAAAAGAAAAAAAAAAGUAACUUACAUAUAUAUCAUAAUUAAGAUGCUAAUAACAUUUUUAUCAUUAUGUUUGUCUAAUUACAUAAUAUGUCAUAAUUAGCAUUUUUUGAUAAAUAUAUUUGACCUUGAUACAUAUUCUAUUUGAUACAUUUGUAAAAAAUUUGUUUGCUAAAUUAGGAAAUAAUAGAAUCUCCUUGAAUUGAGGGAAUAAAUCACGAUUCAUCUAUUUUAAAAGCCCAAAAAAUAUAAACAAUAACAGAAAAAUCAAAACAUUCAUCCUUCAAAUCUAUGUCGAUUCAAAACUACAAUUUUUACGCAAUUCUUCAUCCCAUUUUUUUUCAUCAUCAAACUUUAAAAAACAUUGUGUAAAAAGUAAUGUUGAUACAUAGACUGCAUUUAUACAUAUACUAUAUCAAAAUGUAUCAAACAUAUGUUUAGUGAGUUUACACAUAGCAGUGAAUAUCUGCUAUCAAAAUGUAUCAAAUAUCCAAAACAUAAUUCAAUUAACAGUCUUGAAAUGUGUCAAUGUUUCAAGCACAACAAAUAUCAUACGAAGGAUAAAUCAUCACAAAUUUUUAAAUAGGAACAAAAGUAUCAACCAAAAAAAAAUAUCAAAUGUAUCAGCUAACAAAAGUAUCAAAUGUACUUAGAUCUUAAAAUCUACUUCAACAUUCAACUCAGUUCUCGAAAAAAAUGAUAAUUUUUUUCACUAAAUUGACUUCAGUGACGUUUGCAUCAAGGAUGAAGAUAAUUGACUUGAAACUUAAAAUUGGAGAGAAGUUAUCAAUAAUUUUGGGGUGAAAAAUUUUAAAAAUGGAAUGGAGAGAUUUAGGACUGCAAAAGAGGAGGUUAUGCGGUUUAUGGGAAAAAUAGAUAUGUAUCAAGGAUAAAUAAAAAAAACAUAUAUAAUGAAAUAUUUUAAAAGAUCUGAGCCAUUGAAAUAAUGAUCCUUAAGUUUGAUUAUUUGUAUAAUUUUUUCAAAAAAGAUUAAGAUGUUAAAUUAAAAAAAUAAGAAAAAAAAUAAGAAAAAAGAGAGAGAAUACUCAUCCUAACUUGAGUCGUUUGUUAAAAAUUGAUUCCUCGACCUGUUUUUUUAUUUUGUUGUUAGUUUUGCAUUCCGUUUUUCUAAAAAUAUCAAAAUUUAUUAUUUUAUUAGUUUACUUCUUAACAGUACUAACUCCAAAGUCCAUAAUUGGGCGUUCUUUUCUUUUUGUGAUGAGUUAUAGAAAAAUAAAGUGAUGAUUAUUGAUGAUUUAUAUUAGUGUUUUCAAAGUGUUAUUUGAAUAGACGGUCUUUUAAGAAUGAUCUAUUUAUAUACAUAUUAACGUUGCAUACACACCACCAUCCCAAAUUUUUCUUGGUAGAUUACUGUGAGUAUGUUAUUGUUGUUAUGGUCAUUGAAUUCAAACUCAUAAAUCGUAACUAUGCUAUUUGGUGUUUUAACCUCUUAUAUUAAUCGAACUGUUCCAUUUCAACCUUCUUUGGAUGAGUUGUAAAAUCAAAGUAAUUUUUAUUGGUGGGAAGUUUAUCUAGAAAUCAAAAAAGAAGACAAUGCAGUACAUUCAGAUUUAUAUGUGAUUUUCACCUAGAGAUAAUACAUAAAAAAGACCUAAACUUGAUACCAAAUUAUAACUAAUUUUGACCUUAAACUUUGAGAGUGCACAAAUAUGACCUUUAACUAUUUAAAACUGCACAAAUAUGACCUCCAAUCCAACGUGGCAAAAUGCGUGUUCAACACGCAAAACUGGGCGCGUCAAGCUUAAAAUCUAAGGGCAUAAUACAUAAAUAUGACCUUAAACUUUGACUGUGCACAAAUAUGACCUUUAACUAUUCAAAACUGUAUAAAUAUGAUCUUUAAAUGACUCUUCACUAUUAUUUUUUCAUUAUUUUCGGCUCAAAGAUGAAAAUGACAUCUAAUUUGUUUUGUCAUUGCGGAAAAAGAGCAAUAUUGAAGACUUAUUAAUUAGGCGGGUCAGCCUCAUACGAAAAAAUCGAGCGGGUAUGUAUAUAUAUUAUAAAGCAGAGGACGAAUUUAAGUUAUAUAAUAUAUCUAAAUAUUAUUUAUUUAAAUAUUAAAUUAAAGAUGAAACUAUACUAAUAAUAAAAAAAUUAUAGUUUUAAUAAAACGUUAUUAAAUCAAUGUUCUUAAGGAUAGUAGUAGUAGUAUAUUAAAUUAAUGUUAUCCAAUUAACGUAAUUAAAAUGUUAUUAAAUUAAUGUUAUUAAAUUAACGAGGGGUGGACCUAUGUGGUUGACAUGGGGUUCACCCGAACCCCCUCGGUAAAAAUAUUAUGUUGUAAAUAUAUAAGAUAGAAAAUGUAUAUUUAUGUACGUAUAUUAAUGUUGAACCACAUGAAACAAGGCACUUAGAUAACCCAGUGGUUAUAUUUGCUCUUCGUGGGCGUUUCCUUCAGCCUACUGUGCGGGUUCGAUCCCUGCUAGUAGUUAUUUUUUUUUUAAUUAAACAAAAGUUAGGUGCUGCUGCUAUAGAAAUAAAUAAAAUAAUAAUAAUAAUAAUAAUUUUUUUAAAAUUAAAAAAAAAUAGAUGCUGCUACUAUAGAAAUAAAUAAAAUGAUAAUAAUAAUAAUAAUAAUAAUAAAAAAAAAAAACGACGUCGUUUUAACACAAAAGACAAAACUUUGACAGUGCACAAAUAUGACUUUUAACUAUUCAAAACUGAACAAAUAUGACCUCUCCAAGUCAGCCCUUUUAACGAUGUGGCACCGUAUGUAUGAUUGAAUUAUCUUUCCACAUAGACGCGAGUGAGACUCACGCAUGGGGUUGCAAAAUCGGAGGUCAUAUUUGUUCAGGUUUUGAAUUGUUAAAGGUUCUAUUUGUUCACUAUCAAAGUUUAAGGUCAAAGUUAUAAUUUGAUGUCAAAUUUAAGCUCAAACUCGUUUUUAUGUAUUAACUCUUUCAACUAUCUAAAUGUUAUUUACUUGCAUUCAUACUUCUGUAACCAAAUUUUUCAAAAGAGUAAUCCACCUUUCCAGCUACCGCGACGAUCUUCAAUUCUUCAUCGUUGCUUGCGUACAUAGGCGUCGGCGUGCUUGUUGCUUAUUAAGUUAUUUAAACUUGACUUGCAGAUUGGGUAAGUUUCGGGGUCAUUCUAAACUCAUCCACCCCUCCUCGUCGAAUAACAAAGGCUAUGGGUAAGUUUGGUUUUCAAGAUUGAAAGUAAAUACCAUAUUUGCUAAGCCUGAAUCUUUAUGUUCAAUAUACGAAGGAGGCAUGGAGAGCUGAUUUACGCCUUGCUUUAAGUUCGGCCUGCAAUGCACAAAACACAUGUGCCCUAUCAAUGUGCGUUGGCAUGCUAGAUCAAACUACCAAGAAUUGAAGCGUGAAGAUCACCUUCGCUAACUUCAACUACAGAAUCUACUAUACACAGUGGACAUUCAUCAUACAACAUCCAAUCCUAUUGCAUUUGCAGUUGUAUAAACCAAAGGCUACCCAUAUGGAAAGAUAUUUCCUAUAAAAACGAAAUUUACUGCCCUUAUAAUGGAAUGUAAACACCAAGACUAUUGUCAAGAGAUCAGCCGCUAGCACACCUCACUCUCAACAAAUGAGGACAAUCUAAAAUAUAAAAUGAUACACCAAGAAGCUGAAAUUUAAAAUCAAAUUGUCAUUAUAACUUCCGUUAUCUGCCUCAAAAAGUUCCCAAAGUAAAAUCAAGCUUCUUCAACUAGAUUACUAAUAACAAAAUCCAUUACUUAGACAAGAAACUUCCUAAAAUAAGAUAAAGGGGGGAACAACCGAAGAAGGAAUGCUGCAUCAUACAGAGAACAUUGUAUUCUUCUAAUCAAAUAGACUGAAGCCCAUAUCCUGCAAAAGAAAUGCCAAGAAACAAGUUAUUAGUAACAUACGACAUAUGCAACAUAUGCAAAGGCUAUUAAAGAAGAUAUAUAGCCAACAGUGUACAAUUACAAUUAAAGGUAUAGCUCUUCUAAGUUGGGAGACAUACAUCAUCUGACUCCUCUUUCUCUUCCUUCUUUUCUUCCUUCUUCUCCUCAGCAGAUGCUACAGCAGCAGUUCCACCAGCAGGGGCAGCAACUGCAACAGCACCACCGCCGCCAGCAGGCACUGAAGCCAGCUUUUCUCGGCCAGCAGCAAUCAGCUCGGUGAUAUCUUUGCCCUCAACUUGAGACAAGAGCAGUUGAAUUCUGUCAUCAUCAGCCUCAGCACCAACUGCAGGGCACAUGAACCACACAUUUUAGUGUGAAAACAAACAACCAGCCAAAAGAAGCAUGUGCACAUGUAUAUAAUCGUUACCGAUAGCAAGGUAAACAUAAUUUGCUGUACAGGCAGCUGAACUACAAAUUAUCUGCUUAAGACAUCUCCAAGAUUUAACGACUGCAAAACAAUGAUUGUGCAUUACCUUGUACAUGAAAAUAAGACUAAAUGCUAUUCACCUACCCAUGUAUGCCUAUGAGAGAGCUACAACACCCUAACACUAUAAUCUCACUGUUGCAGGCUAAUGGCAAUAACACUAUGUUCACUUUUCACCAAAUUUAUAAAGAAAAUAGAAAAAUCAAAAACAAUAAAGGAACUAGCAAACAACUAAAGAAACUUAGUCUACACCUCAUUCAUCAACAGCCUGGAAAGUAUAGAGUAAAUGUCAAUUUCAUAAAAUUCCAUAGCACCAGAGGCACCCCAAAAAUAAGACUUAUUAUUUGAAAACUUGAAUCGCUUUUUACUACACUUGAACUUUGUUUUAAAUUCAGCUAGAAAUAUAUUCUGAAUUCUAGUUUUUAUCUGUAGUUCUUAACAAGACAAAUCUUAUUUCAAGAAGACAAAAAAAUUAAUAUCAUUCUUACAUGCGUCAGCUAUGUUGAUCGGACUCCAAAAAAAUGUCAAUGGCUGCGUGUCGGAUUCUGCAAAAGUAGUGCAAUUUUGGAGAACCAGACACGGGCGUGGCUCCGACAGUGAAGAGUCCGUGCAACCUAAUGCGCCGGGACUUUAUAUUUCCAAAACCCCUCACUCUUCCUUUUCUACUUCCAAAACCCCCCACUCUUCCUUUUCUACUUCCAAAACCCCUCACUCUUCCUUUUGGGAUGGAGGUCAUACUUCACCACAAAUUUCAAUUCUAUCCCAGACCACCUUAAGUAAUUGGUACUCUCCACACAUAACAAAGCUUUAAGUUUUAUAGGCUCCAAUAUGUUACUUCAUUACCUUCGACAGAUGAUUUUAGGCACCUAAUAUGAGUAAAACAAAUAGCACAAACCUAUAUUUUUCAAGGACCCAGUGGCUAAAAAGAUCUAGUUCAAACUCCAAAUGUCAAAUCUGCUCAUUCUCAGUGUGCAUAUAGACAUCUAUUUGUUUUAAGAAAUUUUUACAUGCUAAACCGCAUGCAUCACCACACCCACCCCUAUCCAUGUAUCACACACAGGUUUUUACCAGUUUGCCGCCUCAAACAAACAACAAUGACGAGAAACCAAACUAUUUGGAUUUUGCUAUAACUACAAUACACUCGGGGGUUGUUUGGUACAUAGAUUAAAUAAUCCCAGGAUUAUAAUCCUUGGACUAUUUUAUACCAUAUGGAAGGUGGUAUAAAAUAGUCCCAUUGUUGAUGGGUUAUACCAAGACUAACUUUGGUAUUAACUUUAUACCAUGUUUGGUUGAUGGUAUAAAUUAGUCCCGGAAUAAAUUUAUACCAUCGACCAAACAUGGUAUAAAUUUAAUCCAGGGGAUAUCCCACCUUAUACCUCCCCUACCAAACAAACACCCAAAGUAUAAGCUAAACCACAUGCCUCAACCUCCCACCCCGUUCCACCCCCCAAAAUAUCCCCUCACCCAAUGUAUAAGUUAGCCAUGUAUCACACGGUGGCUUGAACCAAUUUGCUGCCUCAAAAACAUACAACAAAAAACAAGAAACCAAACAACAUUUUUGAUUCCGCUAUAAUGAUCAUCAAUAUAUAUUCCGCUCCAUUUGGACCCAUUUCAUUCUAACACGUGAUGAUUCAUCUUUUUAGUACUCUUUCCUCCAUUUAACAUGUCUUGCAAUAGUACAUAACAAUUUAUACAUCUGCCCCCACUCAAAUAUCAGAUUUAGUUAAUAUGCAUAACACACAUCCCCGCACUUUAUUACCUUUGCUAUUUAAUUAAUUUCCUAAGAACAACAUUUCAUCAAACAAAUUUACUUCCUCCGUUUCAAUUUCUUUUUAGCCCGUUUCAAGAAAAUGCCCUGCAGCUCUUUAAUUUCAAUUUUCCAUAUGACCUAUUUAAUACUACACACAAGGUCAAAGACGCUCGAAAUAUAAAAAUGUUCGACAGUUACAUAAUGAAGUAAAGAAAAAAAGUGAGUAUCUGCCAAGAUUGAAAAAGAGUGAAGGGGUCAAAGUUUUUUACCACAACCAAGAAUAUUCUUCAAGUCUUUAGCGGAAGGUGAUGCGUUGCCACCCAAAACGGCCAACAAAUAAGCAGCAAUUACCUUCAUUUCUUCUUCUCUAUAUUCCAAUAGAACCACACACACACACACAGAAAAAAGAUUAGAUACAAAAAUCAAACUAUUUCUUCUUCUCUAUAUCAAAUAUCUAACACAACAUAAAAGAGAAAUUCAGAUAGAAAAAAUUCAAAAACACCAAGGAAUCCAAAUAGAGAAGUUGAAAAAAGGGAAGAGGAAUUACUGAGGGAGAUUUGAAAGCUACGAGAGAAUUCGAUUUUGGGACUGCUACUAGGGUUUUGAUACUGGUGAAUGAUGUGCAGUUAUAUAUUCUUAGGGUUUAGUGGAGGUGAUUGUGGAUGGUAGAUCCGAACCGAAAUGUUUGCUGAAUUUACAUUACUACCCUUUAUUUUAGUACUCCCUUCGUUUAAAAAAAAAUGACUUACUUUGACUUGGCACAAAGUUUAAGAAAAUAAAGAAAAUUUUUGAAUCUUGUGACCUUAAAUUAAAAUUGUGUCAAAUGUACCAAAAUAUCCUUUAAUCUUAUGAUCCUAAACAUGUCAUGUGAAAAAUUGAAAUUAAAGUAUUGCCAAAAAAGAAAAGGGGUCAUUCUUUUUUAAACGGAGUGCGUAUAUUCUUUUGCGUUUUCUUUUCCUUUGGUUUUGUUUCCUCGUUAGGGUCGUUUGGUACAAUGUAUCAGGAGAACAGAAAAAGUCAAAUUUACCUUUUUAUUUUGAAAAAUUAGCUAAAUGUAUCAUUUAUUAUACUUUAGGGUCAAUUUACCAUUGCUUUCAUAUUUUGGGGUCAAAUUUACCUCACUACUAAAAAAUUGGCUAAAUAUAUCAUUCAUCAUACUUUGAGGUCAAAUUUUACUCUUGAUGUCAUACUUUGGGAUCAAAUUUACCCUCAUUGUUAAGAAACGUUUCACAUGUAUCCUUCUUUUAAAAGAAAAACUCAAAUCAACGUUAAAUGACUCAUUUUUUAAAAAUAAAAUACAUCAUAAUCUAACCUGCCCGAUGCGACCCACAAAAAUACACAAAUAAAUAUCACUCUCGCUCAGUUCUGAUGGUCAAAUAUUUUCAAUGAACAAAUAUAUUCUCUUUCCACUUGUAGCACUGGUGGGUUGUUUAUAAACGAACAAAAAGUAAAAUAAAAUGAAUAGUACAUAAGCAUGGAACUAGAGAAAAUGUCUAUUACAAGCUCUGCUCCUCUUCCAAUUAUGUUCAAAUUUCAAAAUAUGGUACGUAAUUCCAUAUGCAUUAAGAUUCUAGCAUUAGUAGAUAAUUUUUCUGAGCAAAUGACAUGAUGAAAAAUUUAUGUAGAUCCAAACUGUAUAUAAAGGCAUAAGAAUGAAGAGAUGUCACGAUUGACAUGUAGGAGACAUCUUAACUCAAUCAUCAAGAGAAAUAUCCAGUGGACCAUAAUCUAUGCAUUUGACUGCUAAGUGUCAUUUUUCAUGAGCUCUGCACUGAAGCAAAUCCAUGAACUGAGGAAAGGGUAUAUUUGUUUUUGUUUGCAUUGAUGCGUAUUUAUUUUUCAUGAGCUAUGCACUGAUAAAUAUCCAGUGGCUUAAUCUUGUUGUAAAAAUUUGAUCAACAAUACUGAAGAGUAUAUUUAUUUGUGUCUUUUUAGUGGCUCGAGUCAGGUCGGACGAGUUAGAUUAGAGUAUGUUUUAUUUUUUUAAAAAAAGGAAAUUUAACGUCGAUUUGAACUUUUCUAUUAAAGAGAGGGUAAAUGUGAAAAAUUUCUUAUCAACAAUGGUAAAUUUGACCCCAAAGUAUGACAUCAAAGGUAAAUUUGGCACCAAACUAUGACGAACGAUAUAGUUAGCCAAUUUUUCAAAGUAGAGGGGUAAAUUCAACCCUAAAGUAUGCAUCGAGGGUAGAUUUGACCCUAAAAUAUGAUAAAGAAUAUUUUUAGCCAAUUUUUCAAAGUACAGAGAUAAACUUGACGUUUUUCCCUUAGAAGAAAUCGUCCAUAUAGUAUGUAUCAUAUUGAUUCGGUCAAAUACAUUGGCAACUCCUUAAAUUUGACACAUGUUUUUAUUAUGACACUUCAACUAGUCAUUGUUCAUUUUAAACACCUAAACUAAUAGUAUCUUUGAUAUAAGAAAGACCACAAAAGGCACAAAAACUACACAAAAUAGUCCACAUAUUGAGAGCAACCCGAGGACUCAUUUGAGUGCUAGUUUCGGCCAAUAACAACAACACAAGUAUCACGAGUUUACAAGGUAUUUUAACACCAAAACAAUAACAAUACAACAAGAAUAAGAUGAACAUAAUGAACACAAGAUUCAAAUUCAACAAGAACAAAUGAUUACAUGAUACAAACACUAACACAAUUACAAGAAAGGUAAAGAUAGAUAGUGAGACAUAGAUUAUUACAAAGAUUAGGAACAAAAGAGUAUAUUAAACUCAAAACCCCCUAAUGAAUGUAACAAAAACACCACACUCUUACGGUGAUCGCCAAGGAAAUCAACUCACCUUAAGAUCCAUCGUUUCCAAGCAAAGAACAAUAUUGACUUUUCUAAGCCCUAAACUACAAUGGCCAAUCCAAGCCCUAACUAAGAACUCCACUAAGGUGGUUUACUCUCAACAAAGAGGAUUUUCAAUGUUUCAUACAUUCAUCAUUCAUAAACUAAAAAGAAAAGACCUAAAAGGGACUAUAAAUUUAGCCUUAUUACAUAAUGAGUGACAAAAUGACUCCAAUGCCCUUAAUAAAGGAGGGGCGGCCAUGGAGUGUCAAAUGGACAGGGCUAAGUUAUCAAAAUGCCCUUAAGGCUAAGUGACCAAAAAUUCCCUUAAUAAAGGGAACCAAAACCGUGAACCAUCAAAUGUGGUCCAAACCCAUGAGUUCUCAAAUCUUCAAGGCUCCAAGCAAUCUUCCACACACGAGUUGAUUUGUUGGCAUGCUCAAAACGACCCCUCCAAGUAUGAUCCCAUGCCCUCCAUGCGACCAAAGAUUUAUUCUUCACAUAGUGACUUUGAAUGAUGUCAUCGAAAGCUAAGACGACCAUUUGACUUGUAUCAUCCUCCCCUUCUUGAAAAGGAUUCGACCUUGAAUCUGUACCUUGCAAAACUAGAUAAAGAAAAAACUAGCACAACAUCCUCAUGGCAUGAGGGUUAGGGUUAGCACAAUAAUAAACAUCAUCAUGCCAAGGUGGUACAUACUUCAAGUAUAACCAAGCAUCCUUUAAAGGAAAUAUUAAAAACAUUAAAAAAAUGUACAAAGGAUUUGGUUAUGGGAUUCACCAAGAGUGAUACUUUGCUUGUCAUGUAGACCAAGCAACAAGUUGGGUGCACCAAUAUCACCAUUUCUAUAUUUGAAACCGGGGUCAACGAGAAGAGUGGCUAUAGACACGGGUCUAGACAACACUCCCCUUUCCCGUGGUUUUUACCCAAACUAAAUGGUAUACUCUCUAUAAUAGCAUACACAUCAUCCAAAGCAAAUGAAGAGUAGAGAAAGGUAUCACUCAAGUCGACUUCUACUAAGGUGCCCUCAUGUGUGUACUCACUACUAUUUUUCCACGCAUCACCAUGAGUACUCUCAACAAUAAAGUCACACAAAGUAGAAGAAGGAGUAGCUUCAGAGACUACACAUUCCUUACCCUUAAAAGUACUCUCAUCUUCCAAGAAAAGAUUUCCAUCUUUAGGAGGAAUGUUGUCACACUAUAGUAGGUUAGCAUAUAGGCUAUAGCCUCUAAGGUAAGAUAUACCAUCUUUUUCACCACUAGGCUCAUUAGGAGUUUUUAUAUCAUUUUCAAACAAGACAUUAUACCUAAAGAGUGCAUGAUCCAACCCACGGGCAGAUUUGGAACAAUUACGUUUUUCACUCUCUAAGAGAUCAAUAUUAAGUUUCAAAGUAGUUUCAAGCACAAGAUUGUCCCAAGAAUAGCUCUCGAGUUCACUCCACUUUUGUUGACCAACAUUUUCAAGUACUUCACUCACUUGAGUUCCAUUAAUCACAUCACACACAUAAUCAAGUGGUGGAUAAUUUUUACAAAUAAGUUGAUCAACAAUAAUUACACAAGACGAUGUAUUUUUAUUCAACGUAUAGGCUUCAACUAGGUGGACAUAAAUUAAUCUUACAAGAAGAGUCAAUUUGGUCAUCAAUAGGAUCAACUAGUGUAUCCACACUCACAACAUAUCCAUCAUCAACAAGAGGCAAAGAAUCAUUACACUCACAAGUAAGUAAGCUACUACUCACACUCAAUGGGCUACUAGCCACACAAUUAUCAUUCACAUGCACAAAAGUGUAAGAGUUGGCUAUUUUACCUUGAAGUUCUUAAGUAGACUCUCCUUUGUCAUGUUAUGAAGGUCCUCUACAAGCUUGGGCAGCAUCUUUACUUCGGUAUUGCUCUCCUUCGUUUGCCAUGUCAGUACCUACACAAAUGUCCUUAGAAAUAGAAGGACAAAUAAUGUUAGCUCGGUUUUAUGGCAAUACCCUCACUUCGCUUCACACAACCUCUCCUUUUUUUGCUCUCAAAUUACCACCUUGCACACCCUUACUCCUCUCAAUCUUUUGUCUCAUCAUCAUUAAGAUUGGAUUAGGUAAAUACUUCUUUUUGCGGCCCAACAGAAUGUACUUCACGAGGUAAUUUCCCCAUCAGUCUCUUACAAUAUUAGGCCAAUUUUACAUAUUUGGAACUUUAUGUUAUGCAAACCAAUCAGCACCUAAGCAUACAUGACCGUAUUUCAAGGGAAAAAUAUCGCACCAUACCUCUUCAUGAUAUUCAAAUUAGGAGACGACAACUUUGACCCUCUUGGUAACCUUAAACCAAUCCAAGAAGUAUGGAACAAGUAAAGGCUCUCGAAAUAAACCCAAGUAGUCAACCAUAGAUGGAAGGAUGUAGUUUCUAUAGUACCUAUCAUUUAACACAAAGAGGCAGCCCGAUAUCCCACAAAUGGUUACCUUUUCAAAGUGUACACUCCUUCUCGGAUCAAUACUAUAAGGCACAUUAUUACCCAUUAGUUUUGGAGAUGCAUAUCCUCUUCUUCUCGUGGGACAACCUCUACUAUAGCUAGGAUAACCAUUCACACCAUGUCGAUCUUGAUAAGAAGUACUACAAGGUGAAGAAAAUAAAUUUUCACACUCCUCACGUGUACUCUCAUUAUAGCUCUCAUAAGUUUUGUAAAUGAAAGGGUUAUACCUAACACCAAAUCUAGGUUCAGAGUGGAAAGUGUAAGACUCCUCACAUGCCCCAAUGUCAUCAUAAGAAUCAUCAUAUCCAAAUUCACCAUAAGCACUAGGUACUUCAUUCCCCUCAUUUUCUCUCCUAAAACUGUGUCCCUCAAAUCUGCCUAAGUUAUUAUCAUGGCUAUUUUCAUAGCUUCCGCAAUCUCCCUCAACUUUAUAGCCAUAAAGUCCCUUACUACAAUCAUAGUCUCCUAUGUUGUAGUCACAAUAAUUCCUACCUAUCGAAGAAAUGUUCUCCUUAUAUCACCUUUGUACUUACACAAUGAACAAAUAAGAUUAGUAGUAAAAGCUCCUCAUCAACACUCAUAUACGCUCACCUUUGUGAUUCUCUUAAUUGGAGCGGCGAAUAUUGAAAGUUGUUUAUACUUUGGUAGUCUAUGAUGUCAAUUCUACUUGGCAGCCGGAAUGGAUUCUUCUUCGAUCGACUCAAGACGCAAAAAAAAAAAUUUACUUACAAACUUGAAACAGAGAAGUUACUACGAGUUAAAAAUGAGAAAAGCACAAAAAUAACGCUAACACGAAGAACAUACUCAAAAACUAAUUUACAACUUAGUAGGUAUUUACUAGUUGUCAAUUAGUAUAAGAGUCAACAAAGUUGAAACCAAUAGAACAAAGAAAAGAAACUAGGAAUUCCAAUUCUUGAGCUUAAGAUGACGUGGGACUCGACUAUUGGUCAUUGGAAUGUUGUUGAAGUUGAAAAAUUUUGUUUCAAGAAUUUUGUUGUUUACUUUCACAUUUGGAAAAAGAAGUUUCGGCUAAGAUAUAGGCAAACAAAGUUUUAAACUCCCUUUUCAAGAUUCAAAAGUUCUUUCACCUACCUGUACUUAUUUGGCAAGACAACCUUUUUGGAUGUCUUGUCCCCUUUCCUCUUUUGGACAAACCUAGAAAAGUGGUCUUACUCUUUUGUAGUAACUAGACUUUUGGGAUGUCUUUUGUUCUUUUAUCACUUUGGUGAUAUCUUGAGGAUAUUUCCAAGAUAAACAAAAGUCUCACUCUUCUUUUCUUGUUUCAAGAUCAAAAAAUACCCUUUUGAAAAUACUUUUUCAACACAGCUCAAGAACACAAGAACAACAACAAGAAGUCAUCCAACAAUUACCACCACACAACUUGAAACUUAGCUCAAGAACUUGGAUUAAGACUAAAGGAGUGUUACAGAGAAAGAAAACCAACACAAGAAACAAUUAAGACAAGCAAAACACACAUAUAUCUAGGCACAAAUCUCGGCCAAAACAACAACAACAACACAAUUUUAGCCAAGACACAAAAAUGAACAAAUUUGCUUCUUUUUAAUUUUUCAGUUUUCUAACACUUUUUUUUAUUUUCAAGUUUACGAGCCCAAGAUUGAUCUGGUGGGAACUAUAUCAAGCCAUGAUCUGAUACCAAACGAUACAGGAAAGACCACGAAAGUCACAAAAACUACACAAAAUAGUCCACAAAUUAAGAGCAACCCAAGGACCCCUUUGAGUGCUAGUUUCGGCCAACAACAACAGAAGUAUCACGAUUUUACAAGGUGUUUUAACACCAAAAAAACAACAAUAAUAAAAUGAACAUAAUGAACAUAAGAUUCGGAUUUCAACAAGAACAAAUGAUUACAAGAUACAAAUACUAACACAAUUGCAAGAAAGGUAAAGAUAGAUAGUGAGACAUAGAUUAUUACAAAGAUUAGGAACAAAAGAGUAUAUUAAACUCAAAAACCCCUAAUGAAUGUAACAACAACACCACACUCUUACAGUGACCGUCAAGGGAAUCAACUCACCUCAAUAUUCACCAUUUCCAAGCAAAGAACAAUAUUGGUUUUUCCAAGCCCUAAAUUACAAUGGCUAAUCCAAACCCUAACUAAGAACUACACUAAGGUGGUCUACUCUCAAAAGAGAAGACUUUUAAUAUUUCAUACAUUCAUCAUUCAUAAACUAAAAAGAGAAGACCUAAAAGAAACUAUAUAUAUAGCCUUAUUACAUAAUGAGUGACAAAAUGACUCAAAUGCCCUUAAUGAAGGAGGGGUGUCCAUGGAAAGUCAAAUGGAUAAGGCUAAGUUACCAAAAUGCCCUUAAGGCUAAGUGACCAAAAAUUCCCUUAAUAAACGAAACCAAAAUCGUGAACCAUCAAAUGUGGUCCAAACCCGUGAGUCCUCACAUCUUCAAGGCUCCAAGCAAUCUUCCACACACGGUUUUAUUUGUUGGCAUGCUCAAAAUAACCCCUCCAAGUAUGAUCUCGUGCCCUCCAUACGACCAAAUCUUGAUUCUUCACAUAGUGACUUUGAAUGAUGUCAUUGAAAGCUAAGGCGACCAUUUGACUUGUAUCAGUCCUACUGUGUCAUUUUGGCAUCUUUUACUUAAUCAGCUAAACACUCACAAAUUAUAUUGAAUAAUGACUAACUAAAAGAGGACAUAUGACAUUUGAGUAUAAAAUAAUAAUUUAAAAAUAAAUUAUAAUUAAAAGAAAAGAAACUAAUUUUCAGCAAAAACAAAAAUAAAAAUACAGAUUUUCUAAACCCCAUCAUAAUUACCCACCGGUCCAUUCUUUCUUCCCACUUUUCUAGUGACUUUACCUAUAAGACACCAUAAAAUUCUCUCGUAGCCUGAGCCUUAGAGCGUGUUCAGUAAAGUGUUAAUCCGGCCUUAAAAGGUUGAGAAGUGUCUUUUCAAGUGAGAAGUAUUUUAAAUCGAGUAGAGUUUUUCUAAUAUCGACUUUUUGUCAUGUAAAGAAUUGAAUAAGCUUUCUGUCGAUACCAAAUUUACCCAAAUCCAACACUCGGGCGAAGAGUUAGAGCUAUUUUAGUGAGACAGUGUACCACCUGGUACUUUAGCGCGUCGAGAAGCCAGCCUAAAUGACAAUCGUCAAAAUCCAGUGAGCCUAUGCGAUUAUGGCGCGUUGCGCUAAGGCUUAAUUUUAGAGUUGUCAAUUUCUAGUGCACCAACGCAAUUCCACCGUGUUGCGAUGCCUUUCCAAUUUGCAACCAAGGUGGCAAUGCAAUUUCUACCGCGUCGCGCCACAAAUCAAUUUCUCAAUUGUCCAGUUUCCAAUGAGUUUGCGCAAUUCCACUGCGUCACGCCAUCAUGUGAAAUCAGGAUUUUCAUAUUCCAUUUUUAAAAUUUCAAGGACCAAUUGGUAAUUUCCUAAAGCCCCAAACUAGUCUAUAUAAAGGAUCUAUACCCUAAAUAACGAAAAUACUUCAUUAUUCAUUAAUUUUUUCCCAAAUCCAAGUAUUUUCUCUCUCAAAAAGUCAAGAACCCUAGCCAAGAAAUCAAGAACGAGCCUAAGGAUUUCUUCAAGAACCUUCAAGAAAGAGUCUUCUAAGGUAUGCAGAUGUUGAUUCUUGGGUUCUUUUUAUCCAAGAAGUUCAAGAACCCUUUUCUAAAUUUCAAAGAUCUUAUGUUUAUGGGUUUUCAUGAUUCAUGUGAAUUAAAAUUGAUGUUCAUGCUAUUGUUGAGUUUUGGUUCAUGUUUGUUUACAAGGUUUUCAAGCUUUGACCCUAGUAUGUUAUAUUCAUGUGAUGUUCAUGAUAAAUCCUCUUCAAGUUGCUUGUUAAGUGAUGUGUUCAUGUUGAUUAAGUGUAGAAAUUGUUGAAUAAGCAAAGCAUGCUCCCCAUAUGUUUGAUAAAAUGCUUAUGUGAAAGAAUUAGAGUCAUUAUAGCAUGUCGACUAGAAAUCCCCAAUUGUGUGCAAACCCAUGCAUGCCAAGUGUUUGUUGAAAAUCCUUAGUGAAUGAAUUCUAAGAUGAUAGCAUAAAAUUCCCCAAUUAUGUGCUCUUCGAUACAUGCUAAGACUUUAAUACCUGAGUGUUUAAUGUAAGACCUUGUUGAAUGGAGUAUGAUCCAAUAACAUAUCUCCCUAUACUAUCACAUGUUUAUGUUUCUAAAUUCUUGAAGAGAUGCUUUAGUAAUUGUGAAGGUGAAUGAAUGUCCAUGGUCUUGAUAAUUCAAGAAUGGUUGUGCUUUACUUUUAUGUUAUCGAAUCCUAUGGAUAUUUAUACCCGAUAAUUUAGCUGCAGUCUAGAGCCCGUGUCAGUUUUCAUGAUAAUCUCAGUCAAGCCACGAUUCUCAGAACUCAAUGAGUUAUAGAACUUUGUACUCUCAGAUAGAUACAGAACAUAAGAAAUCUCAACAAUCUCCGUAAUCUCAAUAUCGCUAGUAAUCUAACCUCAGUUAUAUACUCAGCUCAGAUCUAGUAUUAUUCAAGUAUUCAAUUCAGACCUCAGUAGUAAUCGAGUAAUCUAUUCAAAGCUUUGUAUCAUUUAGUCAGAUAACAAGAUUCAGUAGUAUUCCAUCAGAUAUGAAACCAAGUAAAUCUAUCUUAAAUCAGUCAGAUAAGUUGAGAAAUAUGAUCAGUAUUAGAUUCAGUUCAGUUUAAGUUAAGAAUUAGUUCAGAGUCAUUCAGUUGGGAGUAGGAGCUAGCACCGAGCGAGUGAAGGGAUGACGGCUCCCUAUUAGAAAAGCAGAGUCGUUAAGAGCAAUCCCUAAACUCCAAAACUGCGUAGCCAGCACAGGAUGCCGGAGUCACCCAUUAGAAAAGGCUUGUCACCCACUAGAUAGGCUUGACUAUUAUACUGCCUUAGGCUUGACUUCCUACGAGGGUUACCCGUUAGAGAGGCUUGACCAGAGAGGUCUUUACCCAUGGCACGGUAUUGAUACCCUUCCAGCUGGAGUUACAGGUUGGACCUUACCAGUUCAGAUUCAAGGCAUGUCAAUUAAGUGGGCACUCCCAUAGUUAUAGUUUCAGUAUCAAUCCUUAGAAAAGAACUCAAAAAUCAGGACCGUCAGAUAUAAUCAUCUAUCUCAGUGAGGAACUCAGAUAGUUCCAUUGAUUCAUGGGCCACCCGCUAGAUAGGCAUGAUCUCACAUAAAGUUAUUGAGUAGUCUCAUUAUCAGAUCCAGAGAUCACCCAUUAGAUAGGCUUGAUCUCAGUCUCAAAUUCAGUAGAGUAAUCUCAUUAUCAGAUCUAGAGAUCAUCCGUUAGAUAGGCUUGAUCUCAGUCUCAAAUUCAGUUGAGUAAUCUCAUUAUUAGAUCCAGAGAUCACCCAUUAGAUAGGCUUGAUCUCAGUCUCAAAUUCAGUAGAGUAAUCUCAUUAUCAGAUCUAGAGAUCACCCAUUAGAUAGGCUUAAUAUCAGUCUCAGAUUUAGUUGAGUAUUCUCAUUAUCAGAUUCAGAGAUCCUUCGCUAGAUAAGUUUGAUCUCAGAUAAAAUCUCUUCUUGUCAUUGAUAGUAGAUUCCGGGAUCAUCUGUUAGAGAGGUUUGAUCUCCGACUCAGUCAAUUAAAAGUAACAAGUUCAGAGUGUAGUCAUUGAUAUGAGUAGAUUCAGUUAAUUAGCUCCAGUAACAUCAGUUUCUGAGAUCACUCACUAGAGAGGACUGAUCUUAAUUCCUGUACUCAGUUAUCAAUAUCAGGAUAUUCAGUUAUUCAGUAUCUCAGUAUUAGUAGUGAGUUGAGAUUACAGUAAGGCGGUAUCCAAGUUUUAGUAUUUUGAGUCACGAUGAUUUUAGUUAUGAUUUAUGCAUUCAUGUAUGUGUUCUCAUUAAGUACUCUCAUGAUUAUUCAGUUAGGUUAUUGUUCAUGCAUAAUCCUUUGCAUUUAGCUUUACCUCAUAUUCAUACGCGGUACAUUCCUAUCCUAAGGUUUUAUUUGACACCAUAGGUUCAGAGGCAUGAGAUCUAGAGUACCCUUAGCAGCUCAGUCAUAGUCAGUAGCAGUAGACAAAGCAGUGAGUCCUCUUCAGUUGAGGAUGAUCCUUAUUUUUUAUUAUUAUUAUAUUAGACUUAGUUUAUUUUCAAUAGUUAGUUUAUUUUCAGUAGACAGAGUUAGCUGGGGAUAUUUUCCAUCAACUCCACAGUUCAGACAGUUUAGAGACUUUUCGCAGAUGUAUCAGUAUUUAGUCUUCAAUUUUGAGUAUUUUUAGAUGCUUUGAACUUUAUGGCCAAUUUUCACAUUUAUUAUCUAUAUUAUGCAGUGUUCAGGUACAGAUAUUUGUAGAUGGUUAGCUUUUGUUCCUUCCGGAUCAUGAGCACCGUGUGACGUUCCGAUUUCAGAAAAUUGGGUCGUUAUAUUACCUCACCCCUACUGUCUUGAUUUUUUUCUUCUUCUUCUUUAGAUUUCAUUGAAUUUUUUGUUCUUUCUUUUUAUCGUAGGUUUAAUUUUCUUUUAAAUUUAAAUUAUAUAUUCUACCUUCUCAAAAUUUUAUAUUGGGUCAAGUUAAGGAUGGUGAAAUCGAUGAUGGCACCAUAAAUUUGGGUGAUGAAUAAUAAAAUUAGGUGGUAGUGAAUUUAUUGGUGAUAGUGAAUUCAGUUGUGGUGUAAUAAUUUUGCCGGAUGUAUGACAAAUUUGGUUCUUCAAAAAUUAAUGUUUGAUGACUUUUUUAUUUUUUUCUUUCAUAUUUUUGUUAGUUAUAUAAAAUUGUUGUUGUUGGUUUAGUGGAUAGUGGUGGUGGAAGGUGGACAAAGAAAGGGUGAAGAGAAGAAGAAAUUUAAGCAUUGAAAAAUCAGAAAUGGUGAUUUGAAAUGGCAAAGAAGAUAAAGAAAAUAAAUUAGAAAUUAACCAAAAUAUGUCUCUCACGCACUGUCAAUGAAUGUAUUACACUUACUUUGUCAUGUCAGCAAUAGGUGCCAAAAUGAUAUAGUAGGACACUAAUUUAGGUGUUUAAAAUAAACAUACGUAGUUGAGGCGUCGAAAUGAAAGUUGGUGCCAAGUUUAGCGAUUUGACUAUGUGUUUGGCCUAUUAUUUAGUACUAUAUUUGAUAGAAACUCUAGGCCUAUGUAUAACUAAUAUAUGCAUUUCUUUGGUCAACCAGUAGAUUUUCAUUUCAUACCAAAAAAAGUUGUAGUUACAUGAAUAGAUGCAGACCACCUAUUGUAAAGAAACCAGUAACUAAGUAACAAGUCAAGCACGUAUAUCCAGCUCCAGUGACUUCUUCUCCGGUCUAUCUUCAUUAAUCUUUUAUCAAGAAUUUCCACCAAGCUUGCCAAGAGCAGUUUUCUAUGUAGGCAUUGUUUUCCCUCUAAUAUGUGUAUGAAGGGAAAUUUUUCGAUAUUGCUUGUCCUGCUGACAUACACCUUUGUGGAAUUUGAGCAUAUUUCUUUCUCUUCGAAUAAUAGCUACUCCCUCCAUUUAAAAAAAAUGACCUACUUUGACUUGGCACAAAGUUUAAGAAAAUAAGGAAGACUUUUGAAUCUUGUGGUCUUAAAUUUAAUUUGUGUCAAAGGUACCAAAAUGCCCUUUAAUCUUGUGGUCCUAAACAUGUCAUGUGGAAAGCUGAAAUUAAAGUAUUUCCAAAAAAGGAAAGGGGUCAUUCUUUUUUAAAUGGACUAAAAAAGAAAGUAGGUCAUUUUUUUUAAACGGAGGGAGUACUAUCAUUGUAAAUGUACAACUAAUCACAACCCUCAGACCUGACUGGCCUCUAGCCUUGCUAUUUGUCCAAGUCAACUCUGCAUGCCAAUAGAUAAUUGGUCUUUCACCAUAAUGCCUUGGUGAUUGGACAGUUAAAAUAUAAAUGAUUUAAGAACUCCAAAGUUGAUAGCCAUAAGGUGAAUUUGUGCCUUGGAUGAAUUGUUAUUUAGAGUGUAAUAUACUUCCAUAUCACCUUUUGGCAUGUUGGGACCAAGGUAAUAUACAUAUUUUUGAUAGAGAACUUUUUACUAACCACCAUCAGCCUCAGUAUAGUUGACAAAUUGUCUUACAAAUUUCUAGCCUCUAUUAUAUACUUCCUUUUUUCUAUUACCUUUAUUAGCACCCCAAAUGGUGACACAACUCGAACUAGGGCCGGGCCGUGACAGCUAUUUCAAGUCCAACAAGGACAAGAGACCACCCCCAAUACCCAAAGUAUCGACCACCUUACACUCCAUGUCAAAUGAAUUUAGAAUUGAUAACAAUAUAAGAAAACUUAAAAUUAAAGAUAUUAUGAUAUGUCCAUAACCAAACCCAACCAACAACCAAACCAUCCCAGUCCACAGUAGUCUGACAAAGCCUCUUUCAAACUAAAUAUCAACAAAGUGUCGAGACAUGCUGAAAUACCCUGGGUUUUGUACCUUGGAAAUUUUUUGAGCUUUGAGGUCACUAUACUUGUAAUGACUCAUCAUACGAGACGUAUGACGUGGGUAUGGGUAAGGUGUCCAGUGAUUGGUGGUUGGGUUUUUGUUAUGGUUAUGACUUGGUGGUACGGGUCAUUAGGUAUAGUGAUGAGUCAUUAUGGUGAUACUUUACUUAAUCAAAAACUUAGUAACUUGACUUGGCUCUGAGUACGAGUGGCUCACUAGGAGCCGUGAGGAUAGGUUACGAGUUAUUUUGACAAUUCUUAUGUUGUCCAGUAUCAAUCCCUUUGUAUUCUAUCUUGGGUACGAUAAGGACCAUACGAGUCAUAUAGUCUGGUGACGAGUGGGGCCAGGGAGUUGUAUGAUGGGUAGUGUAUGGGUGUCCAACUCACUAUAUUGGUGAUGACUUGAUGGUAUGAGUCUUAUAUUGUGGUCAAGAGUUACAGGGUCAACUCGUAACCACCUGUGAUAUUUCUUUUCAGUUUUAAGUUGGGGGUAUUCUGGAUAUUUUUCUCUUUUAACUCCUUUGAAUACCAUGACAUAAACACCUUUUGGGACUUCAUUAACCUAUUAUUCCCAAUCAAACACUCUUAAAAUCUCUCUCAGACUCUCUCUCAAGUAAGAGGCUAGGGUUUCUUUAAGACAAUUAAUUAGGGGCUUGUAAGAGUGAUUCUCUCCAUCUUUCUUGGUGUCUAAGGCAUGUUACUCCCCCUCAUUGUUAUUUUACAAAGUGCAUGUGUUUUAAUGUGUGAUCUUCAUGAUAUUUUUAUGGAUUGAAAUAAAAGUUGGGGUUUUUGGAUAUUUAUGGGUGAAUAAUGUUUCUCAUGAUUUAAUUAUGUUUUCUUUCAUGCUUUUAGUACGAUUUUGGAAUUGUGGGAUGCAUGUUAAUGGUAAAUGGAUUUUGGGGUAUUAUGGAUUCCCCAAAUUACUUGGUUAUGGUGUUGAAACUUAUGUGCCCUAAACUUGUUUGUUAAAAUGCCAAUGAAAAAGAUUUUGUCACAUAGUUUGAUUAUUCUUGAAAUCUUUGCAUUGCAUAAAAGGUAAUGGAACUUAAAUUGGUUUGUUUUUUUUAAAUAGUUUGGAAAGACCUUGGUGGCCAUGGUAUUAGUUUAACUGGGAAUUUUAGAGUCAAAUUGGUUUAAUGGCUUUGGCAUGGCAUAAAUGGAUAGACUUGCAAGAUCUAGUUUGGUAUGACGAUACCAAUGGUUAAUGCCUAAUUAAGAAGACUCCUUAGUAAAUGGUUGGAAUGUGUCAAGGGUUUUAAUAUGGGAUUAAAUAGGGGGUGUAGCAAAGUCAUGGAAGGUGGACGUCUCGAGGGAACCAAUACUGGAAACUAUGUUUGCCGAUGUGAGGUUUGGUCAUGGUGACAGUGUGCAUGAUGUCACACUUUAUGUUUUGGGAGAUGUACUUGUUAUCUCUGGUUUUUUUCUUCGGUUGUAUAACUAACACGCACUGGGGCCUUUUCAACAAGGGAGAUGAACCCAUAUAGCUCGUGGAUGGUUUUAGAAUGGCAAAGCUGCACAACCCAGGUAAAGGUUUUAAAUGCAUGCUAAAUAUGGUUCCUUCCCUAUCACAAUAUAUAUGUAUAUAUGUGAUUUUAUUGGUUAUUUGACUUAGUUUUGAAUGAUGGCAUUAUUUUAUCUUUAUCCCUGAGUAAAUGUUAGCGUUCACUCUGCUAAUCAUGUUCGGGUGUUGUAUCUCUAUGCGAUGUAAGAAUCGGCCAUACUACCAUUUCUCUUGCUCAGUGACUUAGAUUCAAGGACAGCUUGAGUCAGACUAAAUUGGUGAGUUUCCAUACUAAAGUGGUGAGUUUCCAUACUCCGAAAGGCUCUAUUUCAUGCUACAGACUUUUUUUUUUGUUAUUUCUAUGAUUUAUUUUAGUCUAUGGUCGAGGUCAUGUCUCGAUUGGAUGUUAUUGAUUCUGGUUAGAGGCUUUUUUAGACUAUUAUGGACAUGGACAGUUUCAGUAUUAGUGUCAGUCUUGGUAUUGGUAUUGACAUUAAGGUUGGCACCGGUUAUAUAAUUGGUUGAGGUUGUUGGAUUAUGAUUAUACACUUUAUUUAAUGUCUUAAACUAUUAUUGUUUUAUCUUGUUAUAUGUUCAGAAUUCAUCCAACAUAUGGUACAGCGCAGUUAUGGUUGGGUAUUGGGGGUGGUCUCCGGUCCUGAUUGGACUUGAGAUGCCCAAAACAACUAGGCCCUAGUUCAAAUCGUGUCAGAUUGGUAUCAAAGCCCUAGGUUCAUGGUUAAUUAGGUGUCCAACAAAGCCGUGUUGAGUAGAGUCUCUUUUAAAGGUGUGUAGCAUGCCAUACUCAUAAGGGAGAGGCACAAGGCAUUUAGAAAUAUUUCUCUUUCUUAUGUUCUAUUUUCAAGAUGUAGAGUCUAAGGUCUUAAAUUCUCCUCUAAGUUUGAUUGUUCAUUUUUUAGAUCAUGCCUCCAUGAAGAUCUGAAUCUCAUUAAAACUCCUCUGUCCUACCCGAGGAUAAUAUGAUGGGACCCAUUCUACUUAUGGGGUCCAGACUUGAUCUAGAGGUCCAGUUCCUGAUUUGCCUUCCUAGAGUUCCAUCGAUUCCCUCUAGUCCUUCUCGAGCCUCUCUGGUUGAUAUGACAAUGGUCAAGUUUCAUUAAUCUAUCUAUAUAUUGGCGUUGUUGGUAGCUUCUCAAGUUGAGCGUGGUACUUCUAUUACUCUAUCUUCUGAGGCCAUAAGGGUUGGCCAAUUCAUGAGGCUGAAUCCUCCAAUUAUCGGUGUUAAGGUAGAGAAGAAUCCUCAAGGUUUUCUGGAUGAGAUGAAAAAAAUCUUUGGUGUUUUGCAUGCCAUAAAUAUAGAGGGCAUGGAGUUUGCCGCCCACCAGCUGAAAGAUGUGGCGUACUAGUUGUACGAAAAAUGGGAUCAGUUAAGGGGUGAUGAUGCUGAGUCAGCCUUGUGGGAGUAUUUUUCUAAUGAUUUCCUGGAUCACUUUUUUCAUCAAGAGUUGAGAGAAGCAAAGGCGAAAGAGUUUUUUAAUCUGAAGUAAGGUAAGAUGUCAGUCAAGGAGUAUGCCUUGAAGUUUCACUAGUUAUCUCGGUAUGCUGCAAAAUUGGUGUCUAGCAUGAGGGCGAGAAUGAGGAAGUUUGCUUUUGAGUUGUCUCGAGAUUUGAUUUUUGAGAGUAAGGCUUCCUUGUUGAAUAAGGACAUAGAUAUCUCCAGCUUCAGGUUGAGAUAGUAGAUAGGCAGAGCAGGAAGUUUAGAUUUUCUGAAUAGGGUGGUGGUUAACAACAGAGUGGCAAAGAUAGUGAGAAGUGGACCAAGAAGAAGUAGGGCAAUUAUGGGUCUUACUCGAUCGCUAGUGCUCCCUACCUAAAGUUAUCGGGUGACAGGAUAUUUCAGGGUGGCAAUAAUUUAAGGCACAGGAUGCCCAGUCUCAGGCUAGUGGGGAAAAGUCAGCUCGAUCAUAUCCUUCCUGCAGAUUUUAUGGUCGAUUAUAUCAGGGUUACUAUAAAGAAGGAAAGGACAAGUGCUUCAACUGUGGUCAGCCAGGGCACAUGGCUAGAAGUUUUUCCAGCAGCCAAGGUUGCUUCGAGGGAAAACAAGGUUCUAGUAGCCUCUUUAUUAGCUCCUGCACCAAAGGGUACACCGUCUAGUUUCGGCACUAGUCAAAAUUAUCACUAUGCUCUCACUACCUAUUAGGAGACCGAUGCAUCUCCUGAUGUCGUGACUGGUAUGUUGAGACUCUUUUCCCAUGCUGUGUACUAUUUACUUGAUCCGGGGUCCACUCUCUCUUAUAUGACCCCAUUGUGGCUGUGCAUUUUGGUUUUGAUCCCGAGUGUGUUUCAGACCCUUUUUCUAUUUUUACAUUGGUGGGUAACUUUGUGAUAUCUAAAAGAGUCUAUAGGUUUUGGCAUCUGUGGGUGGUCGAGAGACUCUAGUGGGUUUGUUUGAAUUAGAUAUGGUUGAUUUUGAUGUCAUACUGGGGAUGAAUUAUUGAACUUGUGCUAUGUUUUUCUAGAUUAUUAGACUCGUAAGGUUGUCUAUUAAUUCCAUAAUGAGAUGAUUAUCAAGAAGGAGGGUGGUUCCCUAGCUCCUAAGGGAAAAUUCAUAUCAUAUCUUAGAGCUCGAAGAUUAAUCUCCAAAAGGUGUCUCCAUAAUUUGGUCUGGGUUAAAGAUUCUAACUCAGAGAGUCCUUCUUUGCAUUCUAUCCUAGUGGUGAAUGAAUUUCUUGAGGUCUUUCCUGAUGACCUUCCUAGUGUCCCUUCUGAUAGGGAGAUUGAGUGUUGGAUUGAUCUUGUUCUGGACACUCGUUCGAUUUUCAUUCCUCCGUAUAGAAUGGCUCCAGCUGAGUUGAGGGAGCUUAAGGAGAAACUAAAGGAUCUUUUAGACAAGGGUUUCAUUCGUCCUAGUAUGUCUCCAUAAGGUACACCUAUUUUGUUCGUAUGAAAGAAGGAUGGUUCCCUUAAGAUAUGUAUUGAUUACCGGCAAUUGAAUAAAGUGAUGUUAAAGAAUAAGUAUCUUUUUUCUAGGAUAGAUGGUUUAUUUGAUCAGCUAUAGGGUGCUAAGUUUUUCUCCAAGAUUGCUCUUUGAUCUGGGUACCAUCAGUUAAAGAUUAGUGAGUUGGAUAUCCCUAAGACUGCUUUUCGUACUCGGUAUGGGAAUUUUGAGUUUCUGGUUAUGUCUUUUGGGUUGACCAAUGCCCCAACGACAUUUAUGGAUUUGAUGAAUAGAGUCUUUCAUCAGUUUCUGAACUUGUUCGUCAUUGUGUUCAUAGAUGAUAUUUUGGUGUACUCUAAGAGCUAGGUGGAUCAUUCUAAUCAUAUCCGCAUUAUACUGAAGGCCCUAAAGAGUAGCAAUCGUAUGCCAAAUUUUUGAAAUAUGAAUUCUGGUUGAACUUUGUCACUUUUUUGGGUCAUGUUAUUUCUAGUGAAGGGAUCAUGGUGGAUCCGCAGAAAGUUGCAGUGAUUAAGAAGUGACAUUGACCCACGAAUCCAACCGAUAUUCAGAGCUUUUUGGGUUUAGCUGGUUACUAUAAAAUAUUAUGGAAAUUUUCUCUUUUAUAGUUGCCCCAUUGACUAAGCUGACUUAGAAGAAGGUGAAGUUCUUAUAGUCAGAUGCUUGUGAGGGUAGUUUUGAGAAACUGAAGGAUAAACUAACUUUGGCUCUAGUCUUGACUUUGCCUGAAGGCACAAAUGGAUUUGUGGUAUAUUGUGAUGCAUCCCUAUGGGGCUUGAUUGCAUCUUGAUGCAGCAUAACAGGGUGAUAGCUUAUGCUUCUAGAAAUUUAAAGGUGCAUAAGAAGAAUUAUCUGACUCAUGACUUGGAGCUUUUGGCUCUGGUGUUUGCGUUAAAAAUUUGGCAUCACUAUUUAUAUAGAGUGCAUGUGAAUAUCUUUUCAUAUCAUAAGAGCCUGGAAUAUGUGUUUACUAAAAAAUAGCUUAACCUCAAGCAAAAGAGAUGGCUUGAGUUACUCGGGGAUUAUGACAUGAGUCUUCACUACCACACAAGUAAAGCUAAAGUGAUUGCUGAUGCUCUUAACAGGUUGCCUAUGGUGAGUUUGAAUCAUGUGGACAAGGAUAAGCGGGGGUUGGUGAAGGAUAUUCACUAUUUGACUAACCUUGGAGUUCGCCUCUUGGAUCUAAGGACAGUGGAGUGUUGUACAUGAGGUGGUGCAGUCAUCUCUUGGUGCUAAAAUUAAGGAGAAACAAGUGUUAGAUCCAGUCUUGAUGAGGAUCAAGGGUGAUGUAUAAGGGCAAAAGGUGAUGGCCUUCGAUAUUAGUAGUGAUGGUACCUUACGACACUAAGAGGUGAUGCAUUCCCAACAUAGAUGGUUUGUGAGAGAGGAUCUUAGCUGAGGCAUAUGAGUCUCGUUAUGCUAUCUAUCCCGGUUCGAUGAAAAUGUAUCAUGACCUUAAGGUAAUAUGUUGGCAAAACAAUAUGAAGUGGGAUGUGGCUAGUUUUGUGGCUAAGUUCAUGAUGUGCCAACAAGUGAAAGUUGAGCAGAUAAGUCCUGGAGGAUUGUAUCAAGAAAUUGAGCUUCCUGUAUGGAAAUAGAAAGUGAUCAACAUGGAUUUCAUUACCGGUCUUCCUUGGUUUCAAAAUCAGUUUGAUUCAGUUUAGGUCAUCGUGGAUAGGAUGGAAAAUUCUGCUCAUUUCUUACCCAUGAGGACUAAUUUCUUUGUUGAGGAUUAUGCAAGGUUGUACCUCCAAGAGAUAGUAAAGUUGUAUGGGGUGCCUGUUUCUAUCUUCUCAAAUCGCGGUACAUAGUUUUCAUCCCUCUUUUAGCGGUCGUUUCAGAAAGGUUUGGGGACCAAGGUGAGUCUUAGUAUAACUUUUCACCCAUAAUCGGAUGGGAAAGCAGAAAGGACUAUUUAGACAUUGGGGUAUAUUCUUCGAGCUUGUGUGAUUGAUUAUGGGGUAGUUGGUUUGAGCAAUUUCCUCUUAUAAAGUUUGCCUAUAAUAAUAUAUACUACUUUAGUAUUGGAAUGGCUCCAUUUAAGGCAUUGUAUGGUAGAAGAUAUAGAUAUCCUAUUGGGUGGUUCGAGGUUGGUGAGGCGGAGAUGUUUGGCCCGGAUUUAGUUCACCAAGCCAUGGAGAAAGUGAAGAUGGAUAAAGUCACCAAAAGUCCUACGCAGAUGUGAGGCAUAGGAAGUUAGAGUUUGAGGUUGGGGAUAGCGUGUUCGUAAAGGUGUCUCCCAAGAAGGGAGUGAUGCAUUUUUGGAAGAAGGGGAAGCUUAGUACUCGAUAUGUUGGUCCAUACUUGAUUUUAAGAAGAGUUGGUAAUGCUGCAUAGAAAUUGGAGUUGCCUUCUAGUUUGAGCUCCAUUCACCAGGUAUUCCAUGUUUCUAUGUUGACGAAGUGCAUGAGUGAUCCAUCACAAAUUGUGCCUAUCAAGGAUAUUGGUAUUUUGGAUUCCCUAUCUUAUGAAGAGAUCUCGAUUGAGAUCUUAGAUCGAAAAGUUCAUCGAUUGCGGACCAACGACGUGGCCUCAGUAAAGGUUUUAUGGAGGAACCACAAGGUGGAAGAGGAUACUUGGGAAGCUAAAGAGGACAUGAAGUCCAAAUAAACAUUCCUAUUUUUCACUCCAAAAAAUCCUGCGUAAGGUAUAUGUUGUUCUUAACAUCAUUGUUUUCUAACUUAGCUGAAGGUAAGAGUAGAGACGUGUGGAGUAUUACCGUGUUCCAUCAUUCGAGGAUGAAUGAUCCAAGUGCAAGAGAAUUGAAACACCUUGGGUUUGGGCCCUUGAAAAUUUCCUGAGCUUUGAGCUCACUUUACUUGUAACGACUCAUCAUAUGAGUCAUAUGAUGUGGGUACAGGUUAGGUAACCCAACUUGUAAGAUGUUCAGUGAUUGGUUGUUGGGUUUCUAUUGUUGUUACAACUUAGUGGUAUGGGUCGUUAGGUAUGGUGAUGAGUUGUUAGGGUGAUCCUACACUUAAUCAAAUACUUAGUAACUUGACUUGGCUCUGAGUACAAGUGGCUCACUAGGAGCCGUGAGGAUAAGUUCUGAGUCAUUUUGAUAAGUUGUAUGUUGUCCAGUGUCAAUCCCUUUGGAUUUUGUCUUGGGUAUGAUAGGACUAUACGAGUUAUAUGUCUGGUCAUGAGUGGGGGUCGGGGAGUCGAAUAGUGGACAAUGUGUGGGUGUACAACUCACUAUCUUAGUGACGAAUCGAUGGUACGAGUCAUAUGUUGUGGUCACGAGUCAUGGGGUCGACUCAUAACCACCUACAAUAUUUUUUUUCAAUUUUAAGUUGGGGGUAUUUUGUACAUUUCUCUCUUUUACCUCCUUUGGCUAACAUGACAUAAAACAACUUUUAGGAUUUCAUUAAAUUAUUAUUCCCAAUCAAACACUCUUAAAAUCUCUCUCAAGCAAAAGGCUAGGGUUUCUUCAAGACAAUCAAUUAGGGGCUUUCAAGAGUGAUUUUCUUCAUCUUCCUUAGUGUUUAAGACAUGUUACUCCUCCCUCAUUGUUAUUUUACAAAGAGCAUGUGUUUUAAUGUGUGAUUUUCAUGAUAUUGUUAUGGUUUGAAAUAAUGGUUGGGGUUUUUGGAUGUUCAUCGGUGAAUAUUGUUUCUCAUGGUUUAAUUAUGUUUUCUUUCAUACUUUUAGUAUGAUUUUGACAUUAUGGGAUGCAUGUUAAUGGUGAACGUAUUUCGGAGUACUAUGGAUUUCCCAAAUUACUUGGUUAUGGUUUUGAAACUUAUACGCCCUCAACCUGUUUGUUAAAAUGCCAAUGAGAAAGAUUUUGUCACAUAGUUUGACUAUUCUUGAAAUCUUUGCAUUGCAUAAAAGGUAAUGGAACUUAAAUUGGUUUGGUUGGUUUUAAAUGAUUUGGAAAGGACUUGGUAGACAUGGUAUUGGUUUAAUUGGGAACUUUGGAGUCAAAUUGGUUUAAUGGCUUUGGUAUGGCAUAAAUGGAUAAACUUGCAAGCUCUAAUUUUGGUAUGACGAUACCAAUGGUGAAUGCCUAAUUAAAAAGACUCCUUGGUAAAUGGUUGGAAUAUGUAAAUGGUUUUAAUAUGGGCUUAAAGGGGAAUGUAUAGCAAAGCCAUGAAAGGUGGAGGUCCCAGGGGGACCAAUAUUAGAAACUCAUGUUUGCCGAUGUGAGGCUUGGUCAUGGAGUCCGUGUGCAUGGUGUGACACUUUAUAUUUUAGGAGAUGUGCUAGUCAUCUCAGGUUCUUUUAUCCGAUUGUGCGGCUAACACGCACAUAACCCUUUCACCAGGGGGAACUAAACCCAUAUAGCCCAUGGGUGGUUUUAGGAUAGAAAAUCUACACAGCCCAAGUAAAGGUCUUAAAUACAUGCUAAACCUGGUUCCCUUCCGCGACACGAUAUAUAUGUAUAUUUUUUUAUUACAUAUGGUUAUUUGACUUGAUUUAAAUGAUGGAAUUAUGUUAUCUUUAUCCCUAAGUACAUGCUAGCAUUCACUACACUAACCGUCUUCGGGAACUGUAUCCCCACUCAAUGUAGGAACUGCCAUACUACCAUUUCUCCUACUCAGUGACUUGGAUUCGGGGACAACUUUGAGUCAGACUGAAGUGGUGAGCUUCUAUACUCCGGAAGGCUCUAUUUCAUGCUAUGGACUUCUCUUAUUUUUGUUAUUUAUUUGGUUUGGUUUUGGCUAUGAUUGGGGGCAUGUCCCAAUCAGAUGUUAUUGAUUUUGGUCAGUGGCUUUGUCAAACUAGUAUGGACAUGGUCGUUGUCGGUAUUGGUGUCAGCCAUGGUAUUGGUAUUGGCAUUGGGGUUGGCACCGGUUGGUUAAUUGGUUGAGGUUGUUGGAUUAUGAUUAUAGACUUUAUUUAAUGUCUUAAACUAUUAUUGUUUUAUAUUGUUAUAUGUUCGGAAUUCAUUCGACAUAUGGCAUAGGGCGGUUAUGAUUGGGUGCUGGGGUGGGUCUUCGGUCCUGGUUAUACUUGAUAUGCCCGACACGUCUAGGCCCUGGUUCGGGUCUUGUCAAAUGCCCCCGAUUAUAUCCAAAAAAAUAGUAUCCAAUAGUCUAACUAAAUCGGAAAACAUAAUCCUGAAAUAGAGCCUUUUGAAGCAUGGAAGCUCACCACUUCAAAUCGACUUUCGAUCAAUCCACAAUCACUGAGCAGGAGGAGUAGAAGUAUGGUCAAAUCCUGCAUUGCGUUAGGAUACAACAUCCGAAGACGGUUAGCGGACUAAACACUAUCAUGUAACUCAGGGAUAAAGAUAAAAUAAUACCGUCAAUUUAAACCAAGUCAACUAAUACACACAAUCAUAUACAAAUACAUACAUACAUAUAUAUACACACAGACACACACAUAUAUAUAUUUUGUGCCGGGAUAGGGAACAAUGCUUAGUAUGCUUUUAAAACCUUAAAUUAAAUUAUGUAGCUCAUCCGUCAUAUUAUAGUACCCACGGGAUAUAUGGGCCCCAGCUCUCACCCUUUGUCGGGUCCCAAUGCGUGUAGCCGGCACGAAACGGAGAAAGAACAUAUAUUUAUGCACGAGGGACUCGAACCUCCCAGUCAUUUAAGAAGGUGACUUAAACACCUGAUUAUGAAAUGUCAUAUAGGUGACUCGAAUUCUUUUAUCAUAAUAAUAUAAUAAGGUGGACUCGAACCACCUAGUCACAAGCAAGGGGACUCGAACCCUCAAGCCAUAACGACCCCCACAUCGGUUAGUGCGGUUCCAAUUGUCGGUCACUCAGACCUCCACUUUUACAACUCAUCUACACAAUACUCUUUUAAAUCCCAAUUAAAAACAUUUAUCACACAUUCUCAUUCAUUAAACCAUAUUACACAUUAAGGCAUACAUUGUCGGUAUAGUCGUACCAACUUAUACUUGCAAGGUAACAACAACAUGCCAAAACAAUUACACCACUUGGGGGAAUUCACAAUCCUCUUGGUUCAAUGAACCCAUAACUUGUGAAAAUAUUAAUCCUUAAGAUUCAAUUCAACAUCAUAAUGCCAUAGUUUUAAUUUUACAAAUUCCCAUUUCUCAUAAUUAAAAACCAAUUUCACAAUAUAGGGUUGGGGUCAUAACCACUUCAAAAGUCAUAGGUUUGGGGAAAAUCACAAUUCCCUUGUUCAUUCACCAUACCUAUGCACCCACAUGUUCGAAACCAUAUUUAAAGCAGGAAAAAUCACAAUUAAACCAUGGGAAAACAUUGUUCAACAAUAAGCAUUCAAAACCCAUGUUUUAAAACCAUCAUAAACAUCUCAUGACCAAUACUUUAAAUCACAUGCUUUUAUAAAAUUGACAACAAUGGAAGACUAACAUGCCUUAAACACCAAAAAAAUUGGAGAGAAAUCGACCGUUGAGCUCUUAGAUGACCAACUUGAUGAAACCCUAGCCUGACUUUCUUGAGGGAAUUUAGAGAGCCCUUUGGAGUGUUUGAGAAGUUACUCUGAUUUAUUUCUGAGUAUUGAUGACACCCUAAAAGGGUUAUAAGAUGUGGGUUUCAAGUUGGGUAAGAGGGGAAAUGUCUAGAAUGCCCUUAAUUUAAAAGGUGGAAAAGUAUGGCCCUUGACUACGAGUCAAUCGUUGACUCAUAACUACUCCUUAUGACUCGUCACCAUGGGUCAUAACCAAGAUAGUCUCUAGGACCUCCACACAUUGUUGAUGCUAUGAAUCUUCUGGUACCACUCAUAAUGAGACCAUACAAAUCGUUGGGUCCAAUCGUAGUUAACGCAGAACCCAAUUGGGUAAACACCAAAAUUCCUAUGAUUUGCACCCAACGACUCGUAACAAGUCCUUACGACUCAAACAGAGCCACUCGUACCCAGAGUAGAACUUAGCCACUUACUUCAUUGAUUUGGUUAUGACUUGGGUCCCUAGGUCCCAUAACGACACCCUACGACUUGUAAGAUGGGUCAUAGUCGAGACAGUGAGCUCAAAGCUCAAGAAUUCUUUAUGGGCCAAAAUAUGGGGUGUUUCAAUUCUCCCUUACUUGGAUCAUUCAUCCUAAAAUGAUGGGUCAAGGCAAUUACAAGCACGAUUUUAGCAUAACUAACAACCACACUUCCUUUUAACAAAGUCAGACACAAAGACAUUAAGUAGUCACAAUUUCCUUUAACAAAGUAAAAAAACAAAGAUGUUAAGAAUAACACAUACCUUAAGCAUAAUUAUCCAGGGAGGAAACAAGAAUAGAUACUUAUACUUGUCUUCUUUAGCUUUCCAAGUAGCCUUUUCAACCUUGUGGUUCCUCUAUAGAACCUUUACCGAAGCUAUAUCCUUCGUUCGCAACCGCUAAACUUGCCUAUCCAAAAUUUUAACUGAGAUUUCCUCAUAAGAUAAGAAAUCCGAAAUACCUACCUUUUCCAAACGAAUAACCAUCAAAGGGUCACCCACACACUCUAUCAACAUUAAAACAUGGAACACCGGGUGAAUGAAGUUCAAACUAGAGGGAAACUCCAACUCAUAUGCUACAUUACCAACCAUCUUAAAAAAUAAGUAAGGGCCAACUUACCGAGGACUGAGCUUUCCCUUCUUUCCAAACUGCAUCACUUCCUUCAUGAGAGACACCUUUAAGAACACCCAAUCGCCAACCUCAAACUCUAACUCCAUACACCUCACAUCUGCAAAGGACUUUUGGAGACUUUUGGUGGUCUUAAGCCUAUCCCAAAUCACCUUCACCUUCUCCGUGGCUUGGUAAUAUAAGUUUAGGCCAAACAAUCCCCCCUCACUAACUUUAAACCACCCAAUAGGAGAACGACACCUCCUACCAUACAAAGCCUCAAAUAGAGUCAUCCCAAUACUAGAGUGAUAGCUAUUAUUAUGCGCAAACUCUAUAAGAGGCAAAUGAUCAAUCCAACUACCACCAUAGUCAAUCACAUAAUCUCUAAGCAUAUAUUCCAAUAGCUGAAUAGUCCUUUCAACUUGCCCAUCCGACUGUGGGUGGAAAGCCGUACUAAGGCUCACCUUAGUUCUCAAACCU